UUUUUUUUUUUAGUGAUUGAUUUAGAGCAUUAUGUUGUUUAUUAUAUAUUUUAUUUAUUUUUAUCAUUAUGUUAUUUUUUAUAUUUUUAUUUAUGGUAUUGAGUAUAAAAUAUCAUUGAUGAUAACAAUAAUAGGGUUAGGUGAAUCGUAAUUGUGAAAGUAAGAGCAUAAAAUAUAGUAUUAGAUGAUGAACAGAUUACAUUACUGAAUCCCACUGGUCUUAGAAAAAGAUCUGUAGAAUAGGAGAUAAACAAACAAACAAAGAUUUAUUCUGAAACACAAGUACUUAACUUAACUCAACAACACAGCUAUAGAAAGAUGAUACAUAAAUCAUCUUCUAUAUAUGGAGAUUGAAGUUUUAACAGUGUUUGGUGCAGAAGCAUCUACGACGGAAGCCACGGCAGUGUCCUCCGCUGAAACGUUCAGUUCGGCAGACAGAAGCACAGUUGGUGUCACUCACACAUGGUCCCUUGAAACGGUGGCUCUGAGACUCACAAGUUCUUGCCUCCGCCACCAUUCUUGGUCCCAUCUCUGCUCAACACAUUAUGCAACACAACUUAUAGACAAGAUCACAAUAAAGAAAACCCUAAAAUGGAAGUAUUGAGCAUGGAGAAAAGCUUACCAGUGGCGAGAAGAAGCAGAAGAAAGACGAAGAUGGUUGAGACAAAAGACACAGAGCGAGCCAUGGAUGAGAGAGUGAGCAAGUUUGAAGAACAACUGAAGAAGCUGGGGUUGAUAGCGAAAUGCAAUGGAGCUGCUUUGCCUUAAAUAGAGAUCAUCAAGGUAAAAACAUGUGGUAAUAUUUCUUACUUACAUUAAAUUACUUAAUCAAUUAUUUAGUAAUUUUAAUUGCAUCUUUUAAUUCAUUCUUCAACUUUUAUUUUAUUAUUUUUUAAUUAUUAUUUUUUAAUUAAUUGUACAAAAAGUGUAUUCUAGCCACUUUUGAGAACUCGUGAAAAUAUAGCAAGAUUGAGUGAAUCUAUAAAGUUUAGAGUAAUAAAAAAUGUAAAAAAAAAAAAUACUGAAUUUAAAUAGUUUUUUAAUUGAAUUUUAUACCGGGAAUUUAAAAUUUCUGAAGAACUAGUUAAAGAUAAUAAAUUUCGAUAUUCAACUUAAACAAGUUAAAAAUUAUAAAAUAGUUACUAAAUAAGGAGUUUAACUAUGACAAUGAAUAUAAAAAUGAAAAGAAAAUAAUUUAUACUUUCGAGUCCUGAAUUAUAUAAUGAAAAGAAAAUAAUGUUUUCUGGUUUGCAUUAAGACCCUGUUUGUUUUAAAAUGCUUUAGGAGAAAAAGAUGAUUAUUUGUGAAAUGAAUGAUCGAGAAAAAGGUGAGGAAGCAUCAUUAUUGAGAAGCGGUGGUGAUGAGAGAGGCUUUAUCGCUUUGAGACAAUCUUUAUGACAAACACGGUGUCGACCUUCAGCUUUUCCAUUUUCACGUUUUUUUAACAUUUCAGAACUCAUCACUACACGUAAGCGCGUUUCCUUCUUUGCUCAUUCUGUAUCACAUGGGCUGGUAAGUGGGUCCCUUCGCUCGUACCAAACAGGACCUUUCGCUCACUUUUUUAUUUACUUUUUUUCAUUUCUUUGAAUUUGGUUGUAGAGUAUUACGUAUUCAUAUUUCUUUAAACAUCACUUUUUGUAAAGAGGGAAUAGACAGAAGAAAUAGAAAAUAUGGGGAUGGAAUUAAGAGAAUUAUUAUUAUUUUUUUCGGUUGGUCGAUCGAAUUAUUUUAUUUUAUUAUUUUAACGAUUUUCUCGUACUUAUCUUGUUUAUCUGUUUUUCGUUUUUUUAAAUUCUAUACUUUGAUAAUACUUAUAAAAGACAUUCUUACAUUAAAGUAAGACUACUCGGUGUUAUUAGUACUGGAUGAUGAAGUACUUGAUUCUUGAAAUCUGUAUCUACUUAUAUGAUUAUCAUGGAUAUUUUAUUGGACCGGAUUAAGGAUUUGAAUCAUAGUUAAGAAUGUAUUACAUAAUAUUUCAUCAUUAAUUAGUCUAAUUAAUCAUCUGUUUGGAUGGUUUAGGUUGCGUCGAUCGUUCUUGACAGGUACUAAACUUUCAGGUGUCGUUCGUACCGACCAGUACAAUAUCAAAUGAUAAAAAAAUAUUUCAUUUAUUAUUAUUAUUUAUUAAUAUUAACAUUUCUUUAACUAUUUACUAUCAUUAUAAAAGAUAAAAAGUUGUAAAAAAUAAAAAAAAAACACACCUUUAAUUUGAUUGUAAGUAUCACAUAAUCCACUAUGGUUAUAAAAAUAAUUUACUUCUCCCUCUUUAAAUAUGUAUUUAUUUAUUUUAUAUGUGGAUUUAUAUCUCUUAUUUAUUUAUGCAAUUGUUUUCUAUUAAUAUUUUAAUUGGAUUUUUUUCAUGUUCAUUACGUUAAUUUGGUAUGAUAAUAAUUAUAUAAAAAUUAGUUGUACCUCUUGGUGAGGACUAUAAAAAAAUAGAUUAUAUGAUGCUAAUAAGUUGUAUAUAAAAAUGAAUUAUAUUUUCUAAUUUUUUUCCGGAAAUCCUUCCUGAAGAGGUUUAUAUAUUUGUUAAACUUUAAUGUUAAUCAUUUUUAAGUUGAAAUCUAAUAUAAUCUUAAAGUGUAUAACUUAUUUAGUAAUCACCUAUUAUUAGACUCGUCGGUUCAAUAUAUAUAUAUAUAUAUAUAUAUGAUGAAAUAUGGAAAAGUUACUUGAAGAUAAGUUUUAUUCACAAUUUUGUAAAGUAAAUUAUUAGUUUAGUAUAAUAUGUUAUUUGUACUACGUUAAUAAUGAAUAAUUUUUGUUUUGUUAGUCUCACCCAAUAAAGAUUACUUAUUAUUUUAUAAAUUUAUUUUGAUUAUCAUUAUUAUUUAUUUAUUAUUAUUAAUAUUCUUAAUUUUUAAUAGUGUUCAUAGUACGAAAUCAGUGUGAACCACCCUACACCCUAUAUUAUUUCACCAAUCCAAUGAAUUGUCAUUAAUAAUAUUGCAACACAUUAUCUAACUUAAUGGAGAAAAAAAGAAAGAGAUAAAGAAAGGUUAUGUCAUGUUUGGAAUGCUGUAAAAGAAGUUCGCAGAGCUUCAUGACAGAACUUGUCACAUUAUACGAGAUUUGCUUAAUACUGAAAUAGUUCAUGCUAAUUACUUAUCUUGAAAACAAAAUAAAAAACAAUCAUAUAGAUAAAUAAAAUAAAUAGGGUAUGUUAGUAAUUUUUAGAAUUUUUAAUAUAAAUAUAACUUUAAAUUACAAAUAUAAAAUUCAUUCUUUUUCAUACAUUUUUACAAAAUCGUUUAUAGUAAUUUAUAAUACAUAUUACUCAUCAAAAAUUCACUAAUUAACCUACACAAACACUUGAUUUUUUCUAAGUUUAUAGUAAUUUAUAAUACAUAUUACUUAGAUCAGAAAUUCACUAAUUAACCUACACAAACACUUUAUUCUUUCUAAGUUUAUAGUAAUUUAUAAUACAUAUUACUCAUGUUAGAAAUUCACUAAUUAACAUACACAAACACUUGAUUCUACUUCUAAAAGAUUUAUGCAUGGAUUUAAACUCAAAUAUAUGUAUCUAUCAUAUUACUUGACUAUGAAAUUUACACAAUAAUGCGCAUAAUAAUCUUAAUAUCAAUUCAUCUCAUAUGACAUGGUUAAUUCAUACAACAGACCAAACCAGUUAUUUUUCAAACUGUAAACUCAUUCAUACGAAUAUCUUUCGACUCUCAUCACCUAAUAAUCUUCAUAUGUAUGAUUCUAAUAUAUCAGUAGAGUCAUGAUAUCUCAUUCUAAAUGAAUCAUUAGUGAAUUCACAUUUUUAUUUUUUUCAACUUUGAGAAAAUCUUUCGAAAUAUUUUCUAAGAAAUUUUCAACUUUUUAAUGUUGUAUCAUAUUGAAGGAUAUUUAACUUUGUAUCAUCUUAAACAACUCCGAUAACGAAGUGUUGGAUAUGUAUUUUUUUUCCAAGUUUAAUUGGGUUUUUCAUAUUAGGAUGUUUAAGAUAAGAAGCUUAUAUGACUAUUUUAAAAGUAACUUUUUCUUUUAAAAAGUGUGUGUGUGUGUUAAAUCCAUGGAUGAAAUAUAAGAUGAAUGAAUGAAAGUUGGAAGUAUUAUUAGUAUUAGCAAUUUUGGGGAACACAUGUCCCUCUUUUAGAUUUGUGUAUCUUGCUUUACCACUCAGUGGAAGGAUGUGGUACGAAUUUGCGGAAAAAAGGUGUCAUCACUCAUUAUUACAAAGAAUGAAUGUGUACACAAAAGUGAAAGAGAAGGAGAUUAUUUCAGAGCAAAUAUUUGUUGAAUAUGCAGUAAAUUAUAUAUAUAGAUAGAUUUUUAUUCUAGUUACUAUUUGUAUACUCUUUUUUUUUCUUAUAGUAAAUUAGCUAUUGUUGUAUUUCGAAUUAAGAAAAUGAUUUUGUUGAUUUUAAGAAAAAAGUAAUGUUUGAUUUGUAUAUUUUAAUAUGAAAUUAAAAUUGUGUUAGUAAGAAAAUCACGUUUUGACAUGGAGAAUUUUCGUAUUGAUUGAAUAUGAGUACGAAUAAUAUCCAAUUUUGUAUAUAAGAUAUGGGAAGAGGUACGAGUAUAGGUAUGUACAUAUUUGUCUCAUCUCUAACCUCAUAUACAUGUCUUGGUUUUAAAUUAUUAAACUUGUUUUAGUUUAUUAGGUAAUAUAAAAACUUAUUUCAUGUUUUCUUUUUGGUUCUAACUUUCACUCUCAUCUAGAUGACUCUUUUUCACUACACUUUUUUUUUUAUAAGUUCAUUCAGAUCCUCAAUAUAUUUUUUCUCUUAUCACAACCUUUGAUUACACACUUUUUCAUUUGUGAGAUUUCGUUUAUAAGGUGUAUUACAUUUUAGGAAGGACAAACAUCAAUUACAUUCAAUGAAACUAGGCAUACAUUUGAUUAUUUUCACUUUUUUAAAUAUUUUUUAUUUAUUGGUUAUUUUUGUCACAUGUGAACAUCCUACCCUCAAUUUUAAGUGUUGGGUAGUAUAAAGUUAGUUUAUUAUGUAACAUACAAAACUUAACGUCUUUGUGCUCUUUGUCUUUAAUUUUGUUUCAUUUAUAAAACCUUAUUUAUAGAACUUUUCUUUUGCUACAAAAUUUUUCAUAAAAACCCUCUUUUGAUUUUUUAUCAAAAUCUCAAUGUGAAUGUUUGUUCGUAAUUUUGACUAUAUAUGAAACUAUUAAUUGAGCUUUUAGAUAAGUGAUAUAUAAGGUUCGAACACAUCUCUUAAAAUAUCGUACACAUGUAUCGGACAUUGACACUCGUACGAUAUUUGUAGGACACAUAUUAGUGAAACGUCCUAUUAAAAGAAUAUUUGUUGGAUUUCUGACAAUUCUAACACAAUUUUAAAACUGAGUAAAAAAUUAUUAUAAAUUUUUUUAUUAUGAUUAUAAAAAUAAGAAACAAAUCAUUUUGAACCAGUCAAAACAAACAUCUGCUCCAAAAAAACCAAAACAUACUUGUACACAUAAAUCUUUAUUGUCAAUUUAUAUAAUUCAUAUUUAUUUUAUAUAUAAAAUUAUGUUUCUAUGUUCUAUAUUUUAAAAAUUGUAUACAUAUAUCUAUAUCAGUGCAUCUGUGUUGUGUAUCGUAUCAGUAGUCAGUGAUCCUUAUCGAAACUGCAGUAGAUUUUAGAAAAAUGUACACCUGUGUUCAUCAUUUCAUAUAAAAUUUAGAAUUCUCUUGUUGGAAAUAAUUUUCUGACACAAAAACUUCAAUAAUUUUGAAACAAAAUAGCAACUAGUGUCAGUAUUUUCUCUUGGUUCUUGAAUCGAAUUGCUGGAUUCUUAUCCAAGAAACAUUUAUGUGACAGAUCAUUGACUUUACUAACAUUAGAGCUUCAUCAAUACCCGUGUCAGUUUUCCAGUUAAAAACAAGCUUACCGUUAAUUUACUAACCAAUAACAUUUUACUAAACAAAAAAACACAAGGCUAUAGGAGAGAAUAUUAACAAGGUUAAUAUAUUUCCAUUAACUUCGUUUAACCCAUCAUUCGAUUCGUGGUAUACACAAAGAGUUAAUAACCUUUUCUUUGAACAUAAAGAUCCUCAUAAAAAGAUGAAAAAGGGGAUCAUAUUGAUGGGAAUCACCAAUCUGAAGUUCUCAGUCUCCAAUUUAACCCGGUAAUGAACACGAACUCAAUCCCAUGUCACCGAAAUCAUAGAGUUGGCAAGGCCUGAAUCCUGGAAGGUUGAAUUACUUUCAUAGUCCAGAUUUUUAGAUGCUCCGGGAAUUGCAUGAGUUAGUCUAAAUGGCUUUGUUUCAUCCUCCCCUAGUUGGGUGGAAAUAAAAGACCACAGCAGCUUCAAGAAAAACAAAGAAAAUCAAAACCAGACAAAUAAACUAACAAAAAACACAAUCAACUUGCAUCCCAAAAGGCAAAGAUCCUUUCAUACAAAUCUCCACACAACACUAAUACUUAUUCUGAAUAAUGGGUGGUGUAAGAAAUUCAGGAAUUCAACUGAGGGUCAAUAACUCUGUUCUCCAAAUUAACAAGAAAAUAAGCUUGCAAUUUAAACCAGGGUACAUAAUUAUUAUCAUUAACUUUGCAGUAUCCAGCAGUCAUCAAAUAAAACGUAACAAUUAACAGUACUACUGUACUACAAUACAUAAUUAACUCAUGUUUGAGUAAGAGUGUCCAUGAUAAAUUUAAUAAUUAAAAUAUUUCCCUUUGCCAUACACCCAUAUCAUAUACAUCCAUAACAAUCAUAAUUUCAAGAACAAUGUAGCAAUAUCGAAAGACAUGCAGAUAUAAAUAAUAUCCAGUAGUCUUUGAAGGGGAUAAAGAAUGUACAGCAUCCAGAAAUCAUAUUAAAUUGGCAGAAGAUCAUCUUUAAGAAAAAUGAGAACAUUAGGUUGGAUGAAUUCCUAUAGGUAUGAGAGCAACAUCUGUUACCUGAAUUGGAUCCGUGCGUAAGAAAUUACGCUGAACACGUUGACCACCUGGAAGCCGCACACCAACUCUGCAGAGGAGAUUUCUUUCAGCCUUGGGUUCUUCAGGCAGGGGUGGAUAUGUGGGCCUCUUAGCCAAUUUUGUUUCUUGCCCGUUGACUGCAACAUCAGCAUCUUUAUUGUCUCCACCACCAGCCAUAGCAGUUGAUUCUUUCAUGCUUUCCAUAGAAGCUGCCAGAGCUCGUUGAACUUCCUCAUCCUCCUCUUUAUUUUCAUUUGAUUCUACCAAGGCUAUAACAUCAAACAACAUGAUGAUGAAAAAAUUAAAAAAGACGGUUUCAUCAUUAGAAAUGUAAGGUAGACAUAUCUCUAUACUAAAAUAUAAACCUUGAUUAUCUUUGUUUUUCAUCUAUUCCCAUUUUGAUAAAAUCAGCAUAUCAUAAUCCCAGAUUUCAGAUCCUUAUCACUUAUUAUUUUCUUAGAAUAUUUGUUAGUUAUGAUUCUAUUAAUUAGGGGUUUCUUUAUUUUUUUAUUAGCAUAAUUGUUAGAUAUGAUAAUACUGACAAAGGAUCUCUUUAUUAUUAAUUAGGAUAUUUUUUAGUUAUGAUCCUAUUAAUUAGGGUUAUCAUUGUAGCCUUUUUUCAAAGACAUUUAUUUGGAAUGAUAAUAGCUAAUAACAGAUAGCUGCAGAGUUUUCACCCACAAAAACAUUAUAGCAUGAUAGCAGAGUGCGAGAUAACCACUCUAUUUAAUGUUAUAAUAAUACUAUUAAAAUUUAUAAUAAAUAUUCUACCAUUAAAAUGUAGCAUAAAUCACACUCAUAGCCAGUGAGGUUUUUUCGAAUGACACUAACACCCCAGUUCUUUAAAAACUUUACUCAAACCUCCCCUUUGUUUUAAAAACAUUACAUUUGCCCCCCUUUUUACAGUAAACAUGUACCCCCAUGCAAUCCCAUUUUACAUUUCAUAAUGACAAAAGUCGGGGGUCUCUGUGAUUUACUCAAAUUAUAUUCAAUAUUCUGCUGUUAGAAAAUCAUAUAUGAAUAAAAAAAAGGUUCAAUAGUCCAAAGUUGAAACAUGGUCUUUGUUUGGAACCACCAUUGGCUUGGCAGACUCCGACCAGUGCUAUAUAUUUAAAUAAAUUUAUAAAAAAGUGCAUUGACACAGUGGUUGCCUUGACUAAUGUUUGUACAUGCCCUAUAUUUGACCCUUCCCAACCUAGCUUUGUAAGCUAUUUAGAAAUUACAUGCCCAAUCCCACAUCACUCAAGCCCAAUAAGCCAUCAUAAACCUAAAUCUCAUCUACAUACAAAUGUGAUGAGCCACCACAAGCCCUCACAUACACACAAGCAUAGUUUAAUUUUUCCUCUCUCUUCUCUCUUUCUUUUUCUCUCUUCUUAUGCUCCCUCUACGCUACAACAAACUUUAAGAGACAACUACUUUUUUUUUGUGCCAAUAAAGGUAUUUCUAGUGCGACCGAAUUCACUGAUUUUGUCCAGUCUAAUCUGAUUCAGAUCCAGUUCAAUGACAUUGACACCAGUUCGAGAGCAGGUCCAAUCUUGUGACUUGAUCCAACUGACCACAAGUUCGGUUUAUAAUCAAAUCAGCCAAUCCAAGAAAGUUUAAUAACACUACUUGAAACUAAACAAGCAUAGACUGGGAUUAUAAUAGGCUGGUGAGUAUAGAACAGAGUUGCAUAGACACCAGUUUGAGAACAGAUCCAAUAUUAUGACUGACUGAACUGGUCACAAGUUUGGUUUAUGGUCAAACCAACCAGCCAAUCUGACCUGAGUUUAAUAACACUACAUGAAACUGAACAAAAAGUGUAUGCGUACGUACCUAUGGUGUUUCCUUCUUUUCCAUCCUGAUUAUAUUAUUUAAGAUUGGGUUUAUGAUUGGUUGGUGAGUAUAGCACAGAUUUGAUGUUCAAAAAACAAACAGGAAUACUUAGGAACGCAUUGGUGUGCUAGAACUUGUUAACAUCAAGUCAUCUAACACCAAACAAACACCUAGAAUAUAGACAGAGACUAGCAAAAAACCUUUAGGUUUUGGUGGGCUAGAACUUCCUCUAGGACGCUUGUGAGACAAUGUAAUAUGAUGAUCCUUAGGCCCUGCAUCAAGGAAUGCUAGUAGACCCUGCAUCAGUAAGUUAAAAAAUAACCUAGUUCAGGAUUUAUUUAUGAAUAAUGUUUCAAUUUCUCAAUAAAAAAUGUCUUGAUCAUAGCAAGUUAAAAAAACUGUAUCACAUACUUCCAAUAAGCUUUCGGGUGGAACCAUUCCAAUCCAAGAGCGCAUCUUUUGGCCAGUGAUGGGGUCAAUAACAAGUACAACAGGAAUUGAAUCCAGUCGGUAAUAAGUGCAGACUUUUCUGCCUUCAGUUGUAUCAUCAUAUACCUAUAUGCAAAAACAAUAAUUGACAAUGAAAAAUUGUAUAUAAUACAAAAAAAAUACAACAAAUGUACGUGUUUAAUAUCAGCAACAAAUACUUUUGAAAAUAUCACCAUAAACCCAAAUGCAAGCAGCAACCACUCUUAAAGAAUUGGAACUAUAGAGGACUUAAAACAGCUACCACAGGGGGAAAGCAGUUGCCAUUCACUGGUUAGAGCAAGUUUACAUAAGCAAAAUUGCCAAGAGUACAAGAUUUGAGAAGGACAAGAAAGAAGACUUAAGUAAUGGAUGCUCCUAAAUUAAAGAAAGUAUUAUUUCAAUCAUCCAACCCGAUCCCAUAAAGUAUCAACCUGAUGAUUCUCCCACCAAAAGCAAUUGUUACACUUACACACACACACACAUCAUCACAAUAUCUAAACACAUAUAUAAUAAUUCAUUCACUUUUAUUUUUAAAUCCAAUGGAUCAUAUUUUUUUGUUUCAAGGACAUGAUCCAUGCAAUAUCCCAAAGCUAACAACCAAGGACUGAUCUAAUUAAUACUUAAUGGAUCAAAGUCAAUUCAUCAUAAAUUUUUUCAUAUUUAAUUUUUUUAGUAUUCUCUCCUCGCCCAUUCUCUCUCAAUGGAUUGGAAUUGGAUCUAUCAAGUCCAAAAUUCAAAAUUCUUAAUAAAAAAAUUGUAUUUAAAAACUCUAAGAGAUAAAUAAUAUUUUCUAACAAAUUAAAAAUGUCAUUAAAAUAAUAGACACACAUUCAAUGUUGUUUUCACUCAAAACAUGAUUUAAGAUCAAAUACAAGCAUACAAAAUUACUGAUAAAGAAAGUUUCACCAAAUUAAGUUGAACAAGAAAACACUCAUUGAACAUAAACAAACAGACUGGGUUAUUUACUUUAGUUACUACUUGCACCAGAAAAAAUCAAUAGUGUUUGAAGUGAAACUAAAAUUUUAUUUAGAAAUAUCUGAAGUCUUAUACCAUGUGGAAAGAUUGAAUUAUUAACAAUGAAUCUUGUACUACAGAUAGAUCACAGAUUCACAAUUUCAAUAUUUAAACAAUUAUUCUAGUUCAUUCAUCCUAAAUCCUCCUUCGGCUUUCAGCUAGCUAUAAUCUUUUAAUCAACCAACGAAUUGAACCCAUGGUAUAUUGAAAGAACAAUUGGAGUUUGCUUUCAACUUUCAAAAACUAUGAUAUUUUAAUUUGUCAAAAAGUAUUUUUUUAUCUCUUAGUUUUCAAAUAGUAUUUAUUUUAUCAAGAAUUUUCGACCACCUAAAUCCAAUUCCAAUUCAUUAACAGAAAGGGGAGAGGGAAAUGGGGGGCAGGGAAUAGAGAAAGAAGAGAAUAUUUAACAAAUAAAUUUAUUUCAUUUUUAAAAUAUAUUAUUUUAUUGGAUGCCCAUCCAUUAAAAAUUAUAAUGGAUGGAUUGCAUUGGAUUUUAUUAGAUGGAUCAUGGAUGGAUUGGAAUUGUUAGUGGAACAAAAUAAAUUAUUUGUAUCCGAUCUGUAAUGAUCUGGCUAAGAAUUGAUUUGAUUCAUCCAUUUUAUCAUCCAUACAGAUAGAAAAUAUUAUGAAUCAAGAGGCAUAGACAAAUUCCAGUUACUGUAAACCUAAUUUAACUGGGUCUCACUGACUCAAGUGCUCUAUACUUUAAUUGAAAGCUGCUGUCUAAACUACCAACUAAAUGUAAAUGUCCAUCAAACUAAUAAUAGACACAGUUAAGAGAAAGAUAUACAUAAAAUUUAACUAAACACAAGAGAAAAUGUAAUCUGACAUGAGCCCAUUUUGAAGUCCAAAUAUCAAAAUCCUCCAAACUUCAUAAUUAAUUUAAUUAAUCUGAGUGAAUUUGUUCUUUUAUCCAAAAAUUACAAUAAGACAUGGUUAAGCUUAACCGCAUACCGUUAGAGUGCCAUUCUGUGUAUUAUGGGCAAGAUAAUAUCCAGAAACUUUUUUGAAGAAAUUUGAGAAAUUAUACGUACUCUUAUAUAAAUGCCAGGUAAAUAACAUUUUGAAAAUAGAAAAAAAAUUAACCACCAGUGUUCAAGUCAACAGAGUAGGAAACUGACCUGCCAGAAUAUACAGUUUGUACUAAUAGUCUGAGAAACAGCUUCAUUGGCCCAUGUAUCACGAUUUAGCUUCACAAAGUGAUCAUGAUAUUAGUGCCAAUGCUGAAACAGAUCAAGAGAAAUGAAAAUGGAAAACCAAGAAAAUAGUACCAUAUGGGAGCUGAAUUCCUUGGUAGAUUGUAUGUUCACCAACAACCAUUUGUUCUGCACGGAAGCAGCAUCUUUUGCCUGCAUACAAAGGCCAAAUGUUUAGUCACAACGUAUACCAUUUACAUUUACAUUUCAAAAUAUAUGCACUGCUCAUCUAGACGGACCUGCUACAACUUUUAGGCAAAAAUUCCCAUAAACUAUGGAGAUGGAAAUGAUUGUAAUCCAAAUGAGUUUAGGGCAUCAACUUGUACUAUUAACAGACAGAUGAAAAAGAAAAAAAAAGGAAGUGGCAACUUAAGCACUCUAUCAUGUAUGCAAAACAGAAAUAAUCUAUAUCUUAUUAGAGAUCUCACUAUGAUAGACCAAUUCCUGAAAUAGGUAGGUAUUAGCCAGUUCUAAUUUUGUACAAGUUAUUAAGCAAUUAUUUUUACAUUAAUUUCAUAUUAGGCAGUAUAUGUCUGAUAUGACAGUUACAGUGAUUUAUAGGUUCUGUGACUGACUUGUAGAAGACAAUUACAGUGUUGAAUUGUUAUCCCUUGUCUGUAAGGAAUGAUGAAACUCUUUCUUAGGAGCAAUGUUAUCAAAAUCGCAAGUAUACUUGCAAACUCACACAAUCUAUGAGUACGGAAGACCAAAGAGAGAACAAGUGCAAAGCAGAACAUGAAGGUCACGGAUCGUUGCAAGAUUGCAACUUCGCUCAUGAAAUCAGCAGAUCAUGCAUCAUGUCAAUCCUGAAAGCGUUCAUGCAGACUCAGACUUUGUUGCCCAGUUCUAGUUCCCAACUCCUGUAGUUGGCUUUCCAGUUUGGGUUAUAAUGACCCAAUUUAAAAAAAUAUAAAAUAUGACCCUUGGAUUACCAAUUGCAAAUCAGAAUCAAACAUCCUACUCUGUUCCACUAUGCUCAUCAACGACAGGUUGUCACUGACCAUAGCAGCGUACCAUAGUCAUCUCUGGCCCUUGUAACACUCGUGUCUCAGUAGUUGCCAGCCAUCACAACUAGCACUGACGCUUGCAUCACCGUAGACAAGGUUCACAUCACCAUCGCUGGCACCAACUCUUGGGGGUGCCAUUUUUUCUUGUUGCUUUGGCUGUUCAGAGUUUUUCUUCUCAGAGAUACUUAUUUUAUUAUUUUAGUUAACCAUCACAAUUUAAAAGACAUUUCUUCUCAGUGUUUGUUCUAUAAUUUUUCUUCUGAAUAUUUUCUCUUAUUCUUGCUUCCAUUUAGAUUGGGAGCAUUAUGUCAAGUUCAUAAUUUGUAUUAAGCAAUUAUGAAUUUACUAGUUAUUAUCAGUUAUUCUAUGGCUUAUGAAACUAUUUGUGUUAUGUAUUGGAGAUAUUUAUGAUUAUUGUCUAUAUUAUUUUAAAAUAUAGUUCAUGUCUAUAAAUGUAGUUUUUCCUAUAUGUCUUAUGAGUCGAGUUAAGAUCUGUUAUCCCCCUUCCGGUUCUCUUACAAUCAUUGAGUUUGACAACAUUGUUAGGGAAACACUCUGAGUAUAUACACAAACAAAUAUGUCCUAAAACCCAAGUUAUUUCUUUCUUUAUUUAGAACUCAGCUUGUUUAAUUCUUGAGUCCAACACAUUACUAGAGAAGGAAAAUUAUUUAAGUGGUGGUGAUGGAGAUCACUAUAACAACUCCCAGUCCUAUGUUAAACAAGGCUGAUUGAAGAUUAUAUGCAAAUUUUGAAAUGUUGUUUGCCCAAUAGCUAGAAAUACCAGAAUACAAGGGUUUGGAGUAUUUUAUGAACGGGAUUAAUAAUGUUACUACGAGAAAGUUGUGAACUUGCAACCAAAAGAUGUACCAAAGGAAAUUGGUCUUUCAAACUCGACAUAAAUUGAAUUGUAUGGAGAAACAAUGGGUUUUGAGUCAAAGAGAACAAUAUGUAGAAUCUUUCCCUAAUGCCUGGCAAACAGGUGAGUUUGUGACAACUAAACUCGGAAUGUUAGGAAGAGAAAGGGAAGAUGUUGGGUCAGUCUGGUUUUCACCCUAACCCUAAUCAAUUGGGUGAUAGUCGAGCAAGGGUGCAGAAUUCUAAAACAUUAGCAUCAGUUGGGCAACCCAAUACCAAUUCUGAAAGAAGUAAUUAACAAACUUCUGAGUUCAGAAACAGAGGUGCUAGAAACUUAUCAUACCAGGAGUAUGUGAGGAGAAGAGAGAAAAGUUCACUGUUCUCACUGUAACAAACAAUUUGGCCAUUCCAUAGGUGUCGUAAAAAGAAGUAAAAAUGCUUAUUCAAGAGCAGCAUGAGGGGGAGUUUUUGGGAAAUCAAGGGCGUGAGGGUGCGUCGGAGUGUCAAUCGCCACAAUCUUUGUGCAUGGCGGUCGCCUGAUCGAGACAAUCUGAACAAUGGUGUCGUCGGUUCAAACAGCGAUGACAACUGCACAACGGUGGCUCGAAAAAAAAAGUCACUGGUGAACAAUGGGUUCACCAGGAUUUACCUAACUCUAGAUACCAUGCGAAAAUAAAGUAAAAAGAGGUAUAGGAUUAAUCCCUUGUGUAUAAUGAACACAUAGGAUUAUGUAUUUAUAGAUAAGAAACAUACAAAAGAUAUGGGCUAAGCCCAUUACAUCUAACAUAUGUAAUGAUGACUAUGGUUCAGAUAUUAAUGACUAAAAAUAUACUUCUUUUGCUUGUUCAUUUCAUUCCUUAGGCCUCCCAACCUGAUGUCACUUAUUGGUGGUCCAAGAAAUAAACCUUGGUUACCAAAUGCAUUACUGAAGCAGAAUAAAGGAGUCUUGUUACUUCAGCCUCGGAGAAUCAAUGGGUACAGUCUCAACUGAAACAACUACAGGUUGUUUGCUCCACACCUACAAUAUACCUUGACAAUCAAAGCAUUGUUGCUUUGAGUUGAAGCCUUGUGUUGCACCAUUAAACAAAAUACAUGGAAGUGAACAUCUUUUUGUCAAAGAAGAAGGCUAUAGAUCAUUCCCACAUAGUUGCUCGUGUUGCUCAAGAUCAAAUUGCAAACAUUUCACCAAGCCUCUCUCUAAACUCAGAUCUAUAACUCAGACAAACUCAAGUUCUCAAACAUCACCAAUCACCCUGAGUUAUAGGGGACAUGCUAAAGCAUAUUGUAUACGAUUAGUUAGUUGUCACCUAAAUUUGGUUAUAAUUCAGUUGUACCUAACCAUCCUUUGGUUGUUAGAUAUAACCAACUAAAGUCAUCCAUAAAUUGUGAUCAAUUGUACUUUACAACAAAGAUUAUCGAUAGCUUGUUUUCUUUGUUUUCUCUAAAUUAUCUCUAUGGCAUACCAAUCUAAAAAAUUUAAUGUUAAUUUCGAAUUAGGUAGUUAAACAUUAUGAUAUCUAAUAAUUAUACACAAAUUGUGUGACAGGCUUGUGAAAGGAAAUUAAAGUGCCAAAUUGUUAUUCCUUGCCUCUUGGGAGCAGGAAACACCUACGUUAGGGGGAAACCCCUAGUUUGUACACAAAUAUGUCCUAAAGACUAAUAUAAUUUUAUCUUUAUUGAGAAUUUAGUGUGCUAAAUUCCGUGAGCCUAACACAGUACUAGUGUGUGUUUUUUAAAUUCUCUCCACAUUGUGUUUGGCUUCACUCUUUCCACUCCAACAGAAUCUGGAAAAUCCAAUCUAAGAAGCAUGUUUACCUUAUCAAAAGGACCAUUGAACAUCAGAUGAAAUGGUGGGCGAUAAAGUGAAGCAAGGUUGUCCCGAGAAGUCUCUGCUGUAGAAGCAGCACCUUGCUCUGGCUCCCAAACUCCUGGAUUUCUCAUUUCCUCUUCAAAGUUACGAAAUGCAACUAGGGUGCUUGGUUCUUGUGAACGAUGCCCAACCCUUGAUGCUCUGCAUAAACAUGACAAAAAACAACAUAAAUACAUAGUUUGAAUGUCAAAGCAACAUAUAUACUAUAGCACAAGAAAGUAGACUUAUAAAACUCAAUGAGCCAAACUAAAAAAUACGCAAAUAUUUCUUAAAGAUAAGACAAGUAAUAAAACAACAUUAAUUGAAUUCAGGCUACAAUAUCAAGGACUAAAAAGUAAAAACAACAUUAAUCCUUUAUGAUACAUCUCAAAUACCAUAAAAAAAAAUUGUCGGCAUUAUACUUCUUGGUGGGUAGUCAUCAAACAGACACGCCAAGACACGCCAUAUUCAAAAAGUUAAACCUUCCAGUUAUGUAUGGAUAUCAAGACUGUCUAUCUAGAUUCAACAAUUGAUUCUUCUUUCACCUAAUUUUGUUUCACAACUCAAAGGCACACAUAAACAGCUUGCAGAUUAUACAAAUAUAUAAUCCAGAGAAUAAAAAACACCGAAUAAUAUGCAUCUCUGACAAAACAAAAGAACAAAUGAGGAAAAAAAAACAUACCCAUACAGCAUUGCAUCGUCAUAGAGAGUUUCCCUUAUUACAGGCAAGGGAGGGCGCACUUCAUCUGCCUCGUUGAGUCCAACACUUUCACUCGCCGUUGCGUCCUUCCUCGGUUCACUGAAACAACAAGUACAAGUUAGAGAGAAAGCAACCCACAAAAAUCACUUACAAAUAGCACAGGAAUCGGAGUACAACCUCGGAGGUUGGUCAGUCCAGGAAUCAACAUUUUCCAAAGGUGGGGUGUGCAAAGUUGGAGGCGGCACUGCCCCACUUUCACUACCUAUCAAAAACAACUGGAGGGCCUCCUCAAGCUUCCAACUGGUAGCCUGUUACAACAUCAAUCACAACAACAACCCUAAUAUUCCGUAGAUCUGUUAACAAAUAACAAUAGUCUACACUUCUCUCUUGAUUAAAAUUCACUCCCCGCCCCUAUGAGUGGUAGGAAGUUUCAAGAUUACACAAUAAUGAGUGUAGAAAGAUGUGAAAUUGGGGAAUUUGGGAGAGAGCGAAACCUGGAGGAACUGGCGCGCAGUUUCGGCAGUCUGGCCCUGAGCGACCUCAAGAAACGAAGAAACCAUGCUCUGCUGCUCGUUCGUGGACAGCACUCCUUCCAUUGAUUCCGAUCGAGAAGGGAUUAGGGUUCGUUCCAAUCCAGAGGAAGAAGAUGAAGAAGAAUAUGAGUACUCAUUAACCAACUAACACACUCUUCUCUGUAAUCUUUAAUGUUUUUGUGAAAUAAUAAUAACAAUAAUAAAUUAUUAUUAUUAGAAUGUUUCUCUUCCUAACUUUUACAUAUUAUUAUUAUAUUGGCAAAUAUAAUUUUAAAAAAUAUUUUUAACAAUAAUUUAUCACAUGUUAAUCUAUUUCACUGUAUAAAGAUAACUUUUUUUAAUGUUAUUUUUUAAUUUAAUUAAUAAAAUGAAUAAUUGAUUUUUUAUUUUAAAAUAAUUAAAUAACUUUUUUUAAAUAACGGGUAUAUAAUUUUUAAUAUCAUUUUUACAAAAUUAUAUAUAUAUAUUAAAUUCUAUUAUUUUUUUAAUUAAUUAUUUAUAAAAAUAAUAAAACUAUAUAGAUUAUAAAGCUAUGCAUUUUUAAUAUAAUCAAAAUGUAAAUAUACGUGUGUAAAAAUACUUGUGUUUUAACUAGUACUUAUUAAUAAUAUUUAUUUAAUUAUAAUAAGAAACAGUAUCAUAAAUAUUAUAUAUACGAAUUAAAUCAAUCAAUUAAAUUAUUAAAUUUUGAAUAAUUUCGAUAAUUUACUACCAAAUUUCUUAUUAAAAUUUGACUAAAAACAUCUACAAAAUAUUUUGCUAAGGUGUGGUUGAGUUUAGUUCUUAAGGACUUAUUUGUGUUGAUUAAGUUUGUGAUGCUAUAAUAGAAUCUUCAUCUUAAGCAUAAAAAAACUAAUAUAGCACAUAUUAUAUAAAAAAGAAUAGAAGAAAAAUGUAAAAUAAAACAUGAAACUUGCUUAAAUUGAAAUCUUUUAAGUUCAAAAGAGAUCCAAAACACAUGACUUAAUUCUCGUGCAAAAUUUAUGAUUCUAGUUAUCUACUUUCAAAGUAUAACAAUCAUGUUGGGUAAAUAAAUUAUUUUGAAAAAUAUUGAACCAAACAAUGGGAGACUUUUUCAACCUUUUGAUAUACACAAAACUACAACACAAAUAACUUAAUUAUCUUUUAUUAUAUUUCUCCAAUUGAUAUUCGACUAAACAACAUCACAAUACUUGAAACCCCAAGUGAUCAUUAGUCGAUUAUCUGUAAGCUCUUUCCACUAAGAAAUUAGAGAUUAACACUUGGUUCACGUCUUUUAGUGAGACAAUAUUGAAAUUUAAUAAAAACAACAUUGAUUUUCAACCUUGCUCUUUACUUUUUGUUAGGGAAAAAAUACAACAAAUGAUGGAUAUAUGUGAACCUUAACAAUGAACAGACAAUAAAAAUAAUAUGAGUGAUACAGUCGAUGUUAUAUGGAAAGAUGCGACAAAUAAAUCAUUUUAUGCCCCAUCAAAUUAAAGGAUAUUGCAUGUCAUACUCUCCUGUAAUAGGGAAAGGUUGAUCAAAAGGGAUUAAGAUCUAUUAAUGAGUUGUCACCAUUAAUCAUUUAGAUUUGGUCUUACCUCUAAUUAUUAUUAUACUAUUAAGUUUAUAUAUCCAUUUUUACUUUCAUAAUUAUUAGCACAAAUCGUUUAAUGACAAGUAUAUCAAUCGCACGAUAGUAAGUAGUAAGUAAUUAUCGUUCUCCUAAAGGACUUGUGAAAUGCACGACAAUAAUUACAACUCAUAACUAAUUUAGACUAAAGAAUAUUUCCAUACAUUGUUUUGAUGUUAACAAAAUUAAAACCGUGCAUAAAUAAUUAAAACCUUUUUUGGGAUUUUAUCAAACCACUUAAAAUGUAUAUGAAAUUAGAUGUGAUGUGUUAUUGCUAGGGUUAGACUUCAUUGAACCUCACUCUCAUGCACAUAAUCACUCGACUUUUUUCCAAUUUAAUACUAUAGUCAAUCCAUGAGUUUUCUCAAACUCAAUUUUCUUAGUAAAAUGAGUUUUAAGUUUCCUUGUUAAGAGUCAGAUCCUUAAGCAUUUAAUAAACAAUUUUGCUUUCACAAUAAGGAUUUAAGACAACUAAGGAGUUAAGUUUCAUUUAUAGAUACAAGCUUUAGUAGGUAUUUUACUUUGGUUAUAAAUUACAAACGAUGUUUUUCAAUACCCAAUGAAUCAAAUAUCAAGUUAUGGGUGAUAAAAUCACAACAAGCAUCAAGCGUAAAAGUUGAGUGUUAUCAUUAUGUCUUUAGUAAUAAAAACAAUUAAUUAUGUUUAGCUUGGAAAAUUGUUACUGUUAGAGCAAAAAUCCAACACCAUGUAGUUUUGAUUAAGUAUUUAAAGUAAUAAAGCAUGAAGUUGUGUUUGAUAUGACGAAAAUCAAACCAUACAAGUAAAUCAUUUAUCAAAUGAUAAGAGCACCGUGACUAACCACAAUGUUAGGUAGUUGAAGAUUAAAGUUUAGACGAUGACUACAUUUAAAAGACCAAGUUGGCAUCCUUCUGACCUAUCAUAUAUUUACGAGUCAAUCCGAUUCCCAUAUCUCCUUGGAUCUCCCGUUAAGUUGUUAGGAGUCCCUUUAGUUGAAUCAUUAUGAGUCUCAGUAAAAGUUGAUUAACCUAACUCUCAAUCAACAAUUUAAUGUUUCCUUUUACUUGUAGUAGCUCAUGCUUUGAUUCACCCUAACCAAUGAUGAGUUUCUAUUAAGAUUGGAGUCUUUCAUUCCUUGUCGCUUCAAUCCAAAUUGAACUCGUCCCAACAACGAAGACCUUCCUAUUGUAAGGUGAUACUCUGCCCUUCCCUUAAAAUCCACUUUGAGUUUUAGGGGUAAAGGAGUAACUAAUCUAACUUAUUGAGUUGUCAAUAUAUUGAACAAUUAACAUUUGAGCGAGCCACCUUGUCUCACUUUGGGAUGAGAGGGAAGGUUGGUUUGACUUAAAUCCCAAACAUUUUCUUUCAUCUUACAUUGUUUUAUGAUGUAAUAAGAUAGAUUUGUUAUUAUUAUUAUGCUAACUUGCUUAGUCCCACUGGGAAAACCUUUGUUCCACUCGUAACUUUAGAAUCCACUCAUUUUUCCUAGUUUCUGAAAGCCCUUGUAUCUUGGCUUACUCUUAUUUCUCAACUUGAGUUUUGAGUUUAGCGACUUUUAUCAUUAACAAAAAUUUGCGCUAAUAAGACAGGUGGGGAGUGUAUGCCUUUUUCAUAAAAUAUAAAGCUCUUUAUACUUUAACGAAUAAAUAACAUCAAAUUCAUAGAAUAAAUGGUCAAGAAACUAAUAGAGAGAGAAAUGUCCUUUUCAUUAUUGGUGGACAUUUCGUUAAAUUGAACUGCUCAUAGAGCUUUUGAUUGAGUUGUUUAUGUUUUAGAAUUCCAUGGAUAAUUAGGGGUUUAAGUUCAAAGGUUACAAAAUGUAGUGUUUUUUUUAAGGGUGAUCAAAGAAACCAAAACUUUUUGCUACUUUCUUUUCUAUUUCUAUUUCAUAGCGAAAUAUUUCCUUUGUAUCGAAAUCUUAACAAAAAUUUUAAAAAAACAAUUGAAUUGAGAACACAAAAUAUUACUCUAAUCACACAUUCUCACAUCUCUCUACAUAACAUAUUACAAUUAUCUUUUUCUUUAACGUUAAAUUAUUUUGUUAAUUAUAUUUUAAAGAAUAUUUUUCUUAUAACUUCUUAAUUAUAAUAUUUAAUAAUGACUCGUAUUAUUUUAAAAGUUUUUAAAAUGCAACACAGACAUGUGUUUUCAUAAUUAAAAUGUACUCAAUAAUUAAUGGUUAUAAAAUUACAUAUUGUUGGAGAUCCCACAUCGACUAGAGAUUAGAGCCUUUCAUCGUAUAUAAGUGGGUGCAAACCUUAACCUCAUGAGCCGGUUUUAUGGGGUUGAGUUAGGCUAAAGUCCAUUUCGUAUCACAUAUAUAAUAUAAUUUAUAAUUUAUAAUUAUACAUAAAAGAGACUUUCUUUGCGUAAAUAUUUUUCUUUUCUAUAUUAGUCUAAAAUCAAAAUUUUUUUUGGUUUUCUUUUAUUUCUAUCACAAUUAUCUCACACUCGAUAUCAUUUCAAAUUUCUUAAAUGGUAAAUUUAAAUAUAUGAACAAAAUUAUUUUUAAACAAAACAACAUAAGAAAUAGUUUUUAUUUUUUACUUAUUUUUCUUUUUCAAAUUUUCACAUAUCAUUUGAUCUUAAAAUUGAUAAUGCGGGUAGGUUGGAUAGGACAACUCGUGGUCUGAUAGGAAAAAACACUAGAUAAACUUACUAUUUUAACAUAUUAACUUGUUUAGGUUCAUCCCAUAUAACUAGCGAUCCAUACAAACUAAGUACGAGAUGAAGUUGAUCAACCCCGCAUAACCUCAUAUCUUAAAAUUUUAUUUCAGUACCUAAAAAUAACACGGGGAGUGCAACCAACCUUAAACAUAAUUUCUCUUACAUAUAGUUUUCUUAACCACAAAUUUUUUUGCAUGAGUUAUUGAGAAAAUGAGUCAAAAUAAUCAAAUUAUUAAAUUAUAUAUUUUUUAUAAUUAAUAAAAUUUCAUUAAAAUACAUUUAUAUAUAUAUAUAAUUUUUUCAAAAAUAUUUUUCUUUUGUUAAUGAAUGCGGAAUAAACCUAUAAAAUCAAACAAUUAGUAGCCAAAUAUUAAAUAGGCUAGCUUCCAUUAUCAUUCCUAUUUAAUAUGUAUAAAAUAAGAUCACUUUUAUUUUAUUUUAUUUUAUCUUAUCCUCAUUCUAACUAAGGUGAUUCUGCCACAUAAAUCCAAUUUAUUUAGUACACCUUUCAACAGCGACAACCCAUUCUUCAAAUAUAAUUUUAAUAUCAGUGUAUUUUUUAAUAUUUUUAUAGGAAUUUGAAGUUGGAAAAAUAUGUUUUCACAUUUAAUUUACUUUUUAGAAAAUAAAAUUAUCACUAAACUAAUUAUUCGAUUAUAAGUCUUAGUUAAAUUUUCCACAAAAAAAUCCCAUGGAGAGAAACUAUCUUUUUAAAAUAAAAAAUCACUUAAAUAGUUACCAUGUUACUUUUGUUAAAUUAUUUAACACGUUAACAAAUUAGUGUUUGCCAUUAAAAUAACAAAUUAUGUAUGGGUUCAUACAUAAAAGAAUAUGUAAAUAUUGUUAGUAAUAAUUUUCGUUAACGAAAUAGAAUCGAGUCAUUAUAAUUUCCACAUUCAUGAUAAUUUGUAAUUCUUUUUUAUAAAAUAUCUAUUUUUGUGUUGUUAACACCAUUAAAAUAUAGGUAGGGUUAAAUGUUUUUUUCUUAAUGAUUAAAUUAUUUUAUUUAAUUAGUAUUUUUUUGUAAUGGAUAGCAUACUGGUUUUAACUAUUUGAUAAAAUUAGAUUUAAGUUUACUUAUAUAUAUAUUUUUUUAAAAAAAUUGUGUUGAUGGGUUGGUAUAUUUAAGAUUUAUUUAUAAAAAAAUAUUUUAUUGGUAUAAUAAAUUUUUUUUAAUUUAUUUUUAGAAAUCGGUAUAAAUAGAUAUAAUUUAAUUAUGUAUUUUUGUUAACAUAUAAGAUUCUCUCUAUUUUUUCAUAUUUUUUAAUUUUUUUAUUUAUUUUAUUUUAAUAAUAUAAUGUUUGAGGUAUCAGUGUUUUUAUGAUUAAGAUCCGAGAAGGGAGUGGGUUGGCCCGAACCGUAACCCGAAUUCGAAACCCGAAACGUGAAACCCGAAACCCUGUUGAGAAGCAUAGCAGCGGUAACAUAAUAGGUUUUAUGGAGGGUUUAUUGGCGGCUGGGUUGUGUGGUGUUUGUUUCAGAUCUUUUGCAGUUAACACAACACCGUAACGCUUUCUCUUCUCUUUCUCUUAUCUCCGAAAUGUGGACCAAAUUAGCGAAGCGAGCUUCAUCAACAAUAAGGAACAGUUUCCGUGUUUCUUCUUUAUCUCCCAGAUUUUUGCAGCCUCAAACAAGUACAAUACUAUGCACAUACCCAUGCCAGGGUUUAGCCAGAGUGGGAGUGAAUCGGUCCUCGUUUUUUUACGAAGGUUUUUCUUCGCCGUCUUUGAUGGUGGCCGGUAAAGGUUACGCCACGGUUGCGGAGGCAAUUGAAUCGACGGACACCGAAGACGAUCACGAGGAGGUUCAGGAACUGUUGCAGGAAAUGGCGAAGGCGGAACAGAAAUUGGACUGCAGCAGCUACAAGUACAAGAUGCUGAAGAGGAGGCAGAUAAAGGCGGAGACGGAGGCGUGGGAAGAAGCGGCGAGGGAGUACGAGGAGCUGUUGGAGGACAUGCGCAAGCAGAAGCUUGCUCCCAAUUUGCCAUUCAUGAAGUCGCUCUUCCUUGGUUGGUUCGAGCCGCUAAGGAAUGCGAUUCUCGCUGAACAAGAGCUUUGUAAAGAUAGCAGGUGCCGAUUGAACCACGGUCCUUAUUUCAACGAUUUGCCCGCGGACAUGAUGGCUGUGGUCACCAUGCACAAGUUGGUGGCUCUGUUGAUGACCAAUUCGAAUGGCGUGGGCACCGCCAGAGUCAUCCAAGCCGCUUGCCAAGUAGGUGAAGCAAUUGAACAUGAGGUAUACGAGUCUCUCUAUCUAUGACUGCGACAUUAAUUCGCUAACGCAAGUGUGAUUGAUUUCGGUUUUUAUUGUUCAACUUGGGUAUUACUCUGUUGAAUUCGCAAUGUUCAAGUGUUCGUUAACUGAAAUGCUACCCUUCUAUGUGGAUCAGGCUAGGAUAUUCCAUUUUAUGAUGAGGGAGAAGAAAACCACCGCUGACAACUCAUCUCAUCUUGCUCCUGCAGUACAAAGCGGAAAAGUGACUGGAGAGACCGAGGAAAUGGAACAAAAGAAGAACAAGCUUCGGAAAAGAGUUGCUGGUUUGAUGAAAAAACAGAAGAGGCGACAAGCGAUGGGAAUAGUUCGGGGUCAAGAUUAUUGGAAACCUUGGGGGCAAGAAGCUCAAGUAAAGGUUUGUGAUGCUUGUACUUGUAAGUUGUACCUGCGAACAUGGAAAGUUUAUUCUGUUUGUAUUACAAUGUAUUUAUUGUACGUUCCAGGUUGGCUCUCGAUUGAUUGAAAUGCUAAUAGAAACAGCUUACAUUCAACCGCCUGCCAAUCAGUUUGGAGAUGGUCCACCGGAUAUACGCCCAGCAUUUAAGCAUACCCUUAAGACACUUUCAAACGAGUCACAGUGAGAUUGACAGUACUCUUUCACAAUCAAUAUCUACAAAUUUGAACGAUUACUUUUUCAUUCCUAAACAAUCGAUGCUUUCUACUUAACUAGGAAGGAAACUAGGAGAUAUGGUGUUAUUGAAUGUGAUUCUCUGGUGCAAAAUGGCCUUGAGAAGUCUGUAAGUAACUCUACGGAAUGCUUCUUCUUGAAUUCAUGUCCCCUUUUCUUUAAGUAGGUUAUAGGCAGAAUUAUUAUAGGUCAUGCUAACAUGUCUUGUACUUUCAGCUAUACUUCAUGCUUAAGUUUGUGAGUUUGAUGCUAACAUAAAAUUUUGUUUAUUUUGGCAGGCACGGCACGUGGUCAUCCCUUACAUGCCAAUGUUGGUGCCACCCAUUAGCUGGACAGGGUACUAUAGAUGUUUAUACAUUUUGUUUUCUUAUUAUAAAGAUUUAGCUUUUUCCCAUUCGUUUUAUCUUUAGUUUAAUUCCCUAAUGUAAUACCUACAUUUUUUGAUAGUAUAAUUUGAAUCACAUGAACAAGUUCAAACAUCUAAUUACUUUGUGUAUGCUUUACUGAUUUUUCUGUGAUAAGAACCUUUUGGCAUCCCACUUCGGAUUGAGUAAUGACUACAUUUUGCUUAUUGCAAUAUCUUUUGUAGCUAUGACAGAGGAGCAUACUUUUUUUUGCCAUCGUAUGUGAUGAGAAUCCAUGGAGCUAAGCAGCAACGUGAAGCAGUUAAGAGGGCUACCAAGAAUCAACUUGAUCCUGUUUUUGAGGUUUGGAUAUUCUUUUUAAAAUUAUGUUUUUCUAAGUCUAUUCAUGGAUUGCUGUUGAUAGUUGUUGAAAUUAAUUCUGGUAUUGUUCUGUUACUAGGCCCUUAAUACUCUUGGCAGUACCAAAUGGAGGGUAAACAAAAGGGUUCUGUGUGUGAUGGAUCAAAUAUGGGCUAAUGGAGGACGCUUGGCCGAUUUGGUGGAUCGUGAUGAUGUAAGCAAUAAACAAACCUUGUUGCUAUAUUUAUCUGUUGAAUACCCAGAUUCCCACAAAACUUGGCCCACUUUAUUGGAAGAAAUGAUAUUCCACUUGAGUAGCUUCCAGCACAACAGUAUAUAUUUCUUGGAAUCAUGCAUGAUUUUUAUUUUUCGUUUAGGGUUUGAUAUGUAUUAAUCGAUAAAAAAAACAUCUGAAUUCUUAAUUUACAUUUUCCUAUCAAUUGAAGAGUGAGGGAAAAGAUAACAAGGGGCAUAAGUGGGAAUAUAGUUGUAAUGAACUUACAAAUGCAGCUAGGUGUUUGUGAAAGAAGGAUCCUUCCUAAUUGAGUUAUUGGGUAUCUACUCAUUGAGACAAAAUUGGGACCUUUGGGCAGUGAGGAAGUAAUCCCCUGAAGUUCUGCAUUGCCUUGGUUCAUUUUUUAUAUUUUAUUUUAUUCUUCUACAUUUAUAUCGAUCUGCGGACUUAGUGAUAUCAGUGUCAAUGGUCUUUUACAAUAAAGUUUGUAUCAGUUGCUUCAAAGUUUCUAUUGGAUAUAAAUUUUUGAAUGUGUUGUCAAAUAUAACUCAAGACACCAGGGUUGUUCACUGGUUUUUGAUUGAAUUCUCUUUUUAAUCUCAAAGGUUCCCCUCCCUGAGGAACCAGAUACAGAAGAUGAAGCAGAAGUCCGAAAAUGGAAGUGGAAAGUCAAAACUGUGAAAAAGGAGAAUAAUGAGAGACAUUCACAGCGAUGUGACAUAGAACUUAAACUGGCUGUAAGAAAUCUGCUACUUUUAGAGAGAUUGAGUUAUGUAGUAAAUGCUUUCCAGGAUAUGUUGCAUAUAUUUAUCAUUGUUGCAUUACAUUGGCUUUUUUGGCUGUAGGUUGCACGAAAGAUGAAGGAUGAAGAAGGUUUCUAUUAUCCUCAUAAUCUUGAUUUUCGAGGGCGAGCUUAUCCCAUGCACCCAUAUUUGAACCAUCUUGGUUCUGAUUUAUGCCGAGGCAUACUUGAGUUUGCAGAGGGACGUCCUCUAGGGAAGUCAGGGUUGCAUUGGUUAAAAAUACAUCUUGCAAAUUUGUAUGCUGGCGGUGUCGACAAGUUAUCUUACAAUGAUCGAAUAGCAUUUACUGAGAACCACCUGGAUGAUAUAUUUGAUUCUGCAGACAGGCCUCUUGAAGGUAAUCGCUGGUGGUUGCAAGCAGAGGAUCCUUUUCAGUGCUUGGCAGCAUGCAUGAAUCUCUCUGAAGCAUUGAGAAGUCCUAAUCCUGAGACUACCAUUUCUCAUAUGCCAGUACACCAGGUACGUUGUGUGGGAUGUCAGAAAUUGUUAUUUGGGAACAACUAUAUUAACUGAUUUUACAUUUUAUACUACAAAGACAACUCUGCUACCAUUUUUAAUUGAAAUUUUCAUCUAAAUGGAACAGUAUAAUUUUUUCUUUCAGAAGCAUAGUUGUUAGCAGGAGGGUGAAAACCUUUAAAUUGGAGUUGCAUCUUAAUCAUAUAAGUUGAAAGAAAUAGAUGAAAUAUAUUUCUGAGAUAUUUUACAAAUGUGAUUACAGUCUCUAUUUAUAGACAGUUUUACAACCUAAUUAAGGAAAGAAAUAAUAGGUAAUGAAAGCCAGAAAUAAUGGGUGUUUAAAGCUGUACAAAUAAAAUAAAAUAAAAUCACUAACAAAUCUGUCCUAAUAAAAUGGAAUCUGCACUUAAUUAUAACAUAAUUCUCCUUAUGCAACAAUAUAUAUUCAUGCAGAUAAAGUUUACCUUUUGGGAGGAAGACACAGUAAAACGUAGUCAUAAUAACUCUUGAUAAUUGAGAAAUGUGUUAAUUAUAAUAAUCACAUCACUCAGGCAACUUAUUUAUUUUAAAAAUGUGUUUACUAGGAUUAUUUUCACCUCUCUUGGAAGUUUUUCCUUGGUACAUUUUGAAAUUGAGUUGUGACAAAUAUCUAAUCAAUAUUAAUAUUACAUGUAAAAUUAGAUGUAUAUUAGUCGUAUUUGCUUGUUGCAUACUAGUAUACAGCAACAUGCUGUUCAUUCAAUGUGUAAGAACUUGGGUUUUCAUUCAGCUGUACCUAGGAAUACAUAAUAAAAAAGAUGAGUUUGUGUUGAUCAUAAUGCGAGGUUUUCAGGUAUCAAAUACCUUAUUAAUUUUAGACUUCAACUAAGUUGGUAUACUUAAACUGUAUCCCAGUAUUGCUCUGACAUUUCCUAGUCACUCACUGCAGCAUGCAUGCUGAUGAAGUUGAGGCUUGAAGGCCACUAAUCCAUUCUUUAGUAUUUCUCUCCUAAUUUUAAUUUUUCCCCAUGCUUGCUAGGAUGGUUCAUGCAAUGGCUUACAGCACUAUGCAGCACUUGGGCGAGACAAGGUAUUUUGCAUUUCUUAUUUUUUCUAAGGUUUUUUGUGUGUAUGAUGAGCGGGUCAGAGUCUAUAGGAGUUUGUUAAAUGUUUAGUUGGGAUGUUCCUUGUCUCUAAUGUUGAGAUGCUGCAUCAAUUGUAGGUAUAUAACCAAAGAAAAUCAUAUAAAUGCUUGGGCAAUCCUCACUUUAUUAGCUAGUUUCUGGGGUUUAGUAAGACCCAAUUGAAAUUGAAUAAUGAACCAACCCUUCAUGCAAAUGGCUUUUAAGCUCCUUCCCCAUCUUGUCUGUGAGAGCAAGACUUUAUUUGUUUCAUGGGAUUGUUAUUCAAUAUAGCUUGAUUGAUAGAAUUAAAAUAUUAUUAACUUUUAAAUUUAUUUUUUAUCUUUUCUCAACUGCUUGAAAUUUCCUGAUUCUUCUAGAAACUGAAACCAUGGAAAUGCAAUGAUUGCCAAAUUAAAAUAAAUUCGUAUUUUACAUUGAUUGCCAAAUUAAAAAAGCCUAAAGUUGAAUUUUUUAUCAACUAAAAUAGUUUCCUUCUUUUUAUUGUCUGGAAACUUAAAAGUGAUAUCUUAAAAUUCAAUGACAUGGAUUUUGAGGUAGUUCUUAAAUUCUGUUGAAGUUGGGGAUGCUGAAAUAUUUUAAAAUCCUAUUGCUGUCAGAGUUCAGCAAUCUAGUGCGAGAAGGGUUUUCUGAAGAUUUGUGGCAUAUAUAAGUAUUUGAGAGGGAGGCAGACAGUAGGGUAGAAAACUCCACCAAUGUCAAUAUUACACUAGUUUAAUUUCAUUUUCAGUCAUCAUUUGCUAUUCUAUAUUUAUAACCUAACGAGAUGAAGGAACCAUUUGGAUUUCUUACAUUGUGUUGAGGGUAGGAUGUUUUCUUUAUGGUUUGAUAUAUAUGCUCGGAAAGGUUGGACCUUGCACGCUUAAGAAUAGUUGCUGUAAACUUUUAUCAAUAUUAAUGACAGCAUGUUGCUAUGAUUCUUUAUAAAUUAAUCACUUUUCAAUUAUAAACAUCCAUUCUAACAUAAAGUAUUUGAGAGGGAGGCAGACAGUAGGGUAGAAAACUCCACUAAUGUCAAUAUUACACUAGUUUAAUUUCAUUUUCAGUCAUCAUUUGCUAUUCUAUAUUUAUAACCUAACGAGAUGAAGGAACCAUUUGGAUUUCUUACAUUGUGUUGAAGGUAGGAUGUUUUCUUUAUGGUUUGAUAUAUAUGCUCGGAAAGGUUGGACCUUGCACGCUUAAGAAUAGUUGCUGUAAACUUUUAUCAAUAUUAAUGACAGCACGUUGCUAUGAUUCUUUAUAAAUUAAUCACUUUUCAAUUAUAAACAUCCAUUCUAACAUAAAGUAGGGUCAACUUUUGGUAGUUUUGGCAUGACAACAUUGUCUUACUUCAGUUCACCCUCUUUUUCUAUUCUGCCUCAUCAUCAAUUUUACUUCUCUUUUUGAAGUUGGGAGCUGCUGCAGUCAAUCUUGUUUGUGGAGACCAGCCUGCUGAUGUUUACUCAGGAAUUGCGGCCAGGUAAUUAUCACUGAUAUUUCUAAAACUGCACUGGUCGUUGAACUUUUAAAGGAAGUAGCUCAUUGUUUGUGUACUAGCCCUUUGACUUAUCCCGGAUGAAUUCUGCAAUGUUGGAAUCACUACCAUUGUCUCUCAAUUGCAGUUGAGAGAGGCAUGGUAAAAAGUUGUGAAUUGAUAAGAACUUUGAGAGGACCUUAGUAAAAAAGCUACCUGUAAUAGUGGAACUCAACACUUUCAAAGUAGGAAUUGAGUCUAAUACCUUGCUAUUCCAUCCUAGUAGUUUUCAACCAUGGAUUGGUAUCUAAGUAAUAACUGAUUAUUUUAAGAGAAGAAGCUACUACUCCGCUUUUCAAUUUCUCUCUAACUAUUUGAUUGCAUUAUAUAGUUGUAUUGUAGUAUUUCCCCCAGAAAUGAAUGAGGAGACCCUAUUAAAUUAUAUAUAUUACUACUACUGUCUUUUUAUUCCUCUAUCUAUGAACACUCUAAAUUUAUUUGCUGUUGGAAAGAAGUUUAUGCCUUUUGACGUCUUUGGCUCUGGCAAUAUGGUGCAGAGUACUUGAAAUCAUGAAAAAGGAUGCAGAGAAAGAUCCCCAAACUAGUCCAAAUGCAUUGCAUGCUAGGCGCUUAAUCAGCCAGGUUUCUUUUAAUUGCAAGUUUCAAACAGUUCUUUUUCUUUUUUGAAUGUUUUCCUCUGGAAUAUUUGAAGAUCAAAUGGUAGGAGCUUGUAGACUUAUUAUUAUUAACAACAUUGUUGACUUCUCUGACAUUACAAGUGGCUUUGAUAUUUUUUCUUUAUAAUGUAAUAUGAAAGGAUAUACAUUUUUGUCAGCCUUAAACUUAUAUAAAUUAAAUACUAUCAUAAUUAACAUUAGGUGGACCGAAAGUUGGUAAAACAAACUGUGAUGACAUCAGUCUAUGGAGUGACUUACAUUGGGGCCAGGGACCAGAUGAAGAAGAGGCUAAAGGAGCGUUGUGCCAUUGAGGAUGAUGUAGAGCUGUUUACUGCUGCUUGUUAUGCUGCAAAAGUAUGAAAAUUUGAUUUAGUGGAAUUGUAUGUUAACAUUUCUAAAUCUAUUCUAUUAUUUAUUUUACUUUUACUUAUUAGUCAUUGCUUUAUAGACCACUCUCACCGCCUUAGAAGAGAUGUUUGAGGCUGCAAGAAGUAUUAUGGAUUGGCUAGGUGAUUGCGCAAAGGUAUGUCUAAUUUUCUGUUGAUUAUCAUUGAUUAAAUGAAUGAGUGAGUGCAUCCUUGUAUUGUCUCUAAAUUUUGUAGAGACAGAUGUUGCUUCCCAUGUUUUAGAUUCUCUUGGUGGGUUUUGGUUUGAUCCCCCCACUUUUGUAUUUCUUUUUUUCUAUUAAUUGUAUUAAGAAUGCUGCAUAUGAUUGGUAAAAGUUGUAGUGCUAAUUAAUUGUGAAAUAUAGCUAAUCUGAAAAAUUUCUAAUAUAUUUAUGUUUAUCAUGAUAUACUUUUCAUAGUUUAUCUAUCUAGUUUAUUUAAAUUCUGUAUGUGUAAUCUUAUUGUUUUUAAUAUAUGUCUCUUUUUGAUACAAUUUGUUCAAAAAUUGACAGUCUAGGGUUAUGGUAAGAUGUUAUCUUUAAUGAAUACAUGUGUGUGUGAAUAGUAACACAAGCCGACCUUCAAGACUUUUAGAGGUUUGUGGCAGACGACACUCAUUAUUCUCUUAAUAAGUAGCAUUUUUUUUCUAAAAUUGGAGAUUUUGUUUAUCGUUGUUGGUGUUGAAUUGUCACUAUUCUACAUUCUCUUCUAUGAUUAGGUGCUUAGUUAUCUUCUACAUAUAAGCCAAAUGACAUGCUAACAGUGACCUUGAGGAUCUAGUGUUAUUUGUGACAUUUAAUACAUAGUAAGUUUUAGGUUAAGGGGGAGUCUUAGAAUAACCACAUGUAGCUCAGGUGCAUUCAGAUUUCAUUGGAAUACGUUUUUGGGAAAUAAGACUCACUUAUUCAUAGCCUUGUAAAUUAUAUCUCAAAAAGUGUUACUCAAGCUAUUCCACUCCACCUUUCUGGAUUCAACACAGGAAAGUGGUCCACUAUAAUAGAUUAUGCAAAACAGCCAAAACUAAUCAUGGGUGAAAUGAAAUGGCUUGCUAGGUGCUAUCUUUAAAACAAUAUUACAUAAUUUCUCUAACUCUUACACUCCCCCUUAACCUAAGACUUACUAUGUAUAUAAUAAUAAUAAUAAAAACUAAAUAAAACAUGAUAAGUUAAAAAAUUGUAAAUAUAAAAAUUCUAUAGAUAUAUAUUAACUAAAGAGAAAUAAAUAUUACUAAUCAAUGCAUAUAUUGUUAUAUAAUAUAUCCUCAUGUAAAAAUCUAGAAAGAAUAUUUAUAUAUGUGUGCUAUGAAAGAGUUAUUUCCAUUUUUACUCUUCCUUUUUUUAUCUAAUGGUAAACACUAAGUUGCACAUUAGAACCAUUAUAGUAUAAGAAAAUGAAAGGCGAGAAGGAAGAUUAUUCUUUUUAAAGUUACUCAAACACUCUAAAAGAUUUACUUCUCAUCUUCGCUCUUCCUUUUUUAUCUAAUGAUAAAAGAAUGCGUUACUCUUCACAAACAUUAUACUAAAAAAAUGAAAGAAGUGAAUGAAGAUUAGUUUUUUUAAAGUUAAUCUUGGAGUAACUUAAUCCAUAUUCUCAUAUAUUUGUUUAAAGUUAUUAUCUGAUCUUUUUAUACUGGCAAAAGCUAUACAUGGAGAAUAGUCUUUGAACAAUUUGUCAGUAGCACCAAAAUCAAUAAUCCAUAUAUGUGGCUUUAGAAUCUCUUUGGGUACUAGUAGGAGCAUCAAAUCUAAUCUAAAUUAUUCCUUAAUCUUAACUACCUGAAUCUUCUAGAAUCCUUAUUUGAAAUUUAAACUUAAGUAAAAUUAAAGUUACAUGAACCUAAACUUUUAAUGCAGCACAUCCCAAUAGAUGUGUAGUUUUCAACAAUCACCAAGGCAUGUUGACAUCAUUUAGGUGAAACUUCUUUCAUAUCAAUUUUACAAGAGAUCUUUAAUAACUUCAGUAUUUGAUUGAAUGGAGAUGGAAUAAUCCGAGGAUGGUAUCAUAAUUUUAUAGGGAAAGUAUAAAUGGGGAUCAUUAAGGAACCAGUUCUGUUAUAUAAUCAGCCUGUUGACACCCCUAUGACUUCAGGGGUCAAGCUUUUGUGAACUUGGGACAUUUCCAACUGUAAAUUCAAAUGGUCAGCUAGAAUAUGUAUUCUCUAAGUGAUUGAGAUAUCUUAUGGCAAGUUAUAUGUGAAAAGUGUGGUGCGUAUAUUUUAUAUGCUCCAUAUUGCGUGGGACUUUUAGAAUGUAUUUGUUGUUAGGGUAACAGCAAAUCCUUAUAUUUUUUAUUCUGAGGAUAUAUAGUUGAGUUUUUGUUUUGUAUUAUAGGCACAGAUUUUACAACAUGCCCUUUUUUCUCUCCAAAAGUGCUACAGGAAUUGAACAUGUUAUUAAAGAAUUUUAUGUUAUUCUAACACUAUGUUCGCAUGCUUUUACCUGUUUACAUCUCAAUCAUUGUAAUGAUUUAAAUUUUGAACAUCGAAUAGGUGAUUGCUUCCACUAACCAAGCAGUCCGGUGGAUCACUCCCCUCGGUCUACCUGUAGUACAACCCUAUCGACAAUUAGGAAGGCAUCUUGUAAUUUCUCAACUGUUGGCCUAUAUUUUUUCUUCCUAUUUUUCAUUGUCUCUUUUUUCUUCCUCUCUACUAGUUAAAUAAAUUGGAAGUAGUUAACACAUUUUUUGUCACUAAUAUGGUAAUUGGAUAUGAUGCACAGAUCAAAACUUCCCUUCAGAUAUUGACAUUACAACGGGAGACUGACAAGGUAAGACUUGUCUUUGGAACUAAUUGUUCUUUUUUGAAUAUAUCACAGUUUCAUCUGUGAAUAAGAUCCUAUAUUUGUACGAUUCUUGACGCAUUACCAUAUCAACUUAGAGUAGUUCAUGUUUUGACAGGCUUAGUUGCACCAUCCGAUUUAUGUUCUUUUUGCUGUAUGUAUUACUUUGUUAUUAUGUUGGUAUUAUUUGUCAAAACCUGCAAUGCCCUUGGGACAAUCUAGGUGUCUUUCCCUAAGCAUACUAUUGUUAAGCUAAUAGAAUAUCCACACUAAUGUUACAGGUCAUGGUUAAAAGGCAGAGGACAGCUUUUCCCCCAAAUUUUGUUCACUCUCUUGAUGGUUCUCACAUGAUGAUGACUGCAGUUGCUUGUAAAAAAGCGGGCUUGAACUUUGCAGGUGCAUAUUGGUUUAUAUAAAAAACAUAAAUAGUCUUGGGUGAAUGCAAUUUGACUUUCCAUUAAGAAUUUAAAUUUGUAAUCUAAUGCUUAAUUGCAGGGGUUCAUGAUUCAUACUGGACGCAUGCAUGUGAUGUCGAUGAAAUGAACAGGAUACUCAGGGAAAAGUUUGUUGAACUCUACGAGGCUCCAAUAUUGGAAAAUGUAAAGUGUUUUUUAUCUUUUAAACUACAUAGGUUGUUUGAUUGGGUUGAAUUUGACUUCUAAUUUGGUUACUUAGAUAUUAGAUUGCCAAGGUGAAGCAUUUUCUUCAAAUCAAUCCAUUCUGACUCAAUCCUUUCCUUUUAUACUCUUAACUUUUGGUAAAUGCUUGUCUGUUGUCAUUCAAUCCACUCAAACUUUCUCUUUUUAUGGCUUCCUGUGUCAUUCAAACCAUUUGCUUAUUAAGUCUUUUUGAUGCAUUUUGUAAUUGUGUAAAGCAUUUAUGAUUUAUCUUGAAUCAUCUAACUUACCUUUCUACUUGACCAAAUCAAUCAACGUACCAGACUCAAUUUUUUGGUAGCCUUGCAUGUUGCUUUUGGAUUAUUAUUUGACAUAUUUUGUAUACAAGUAAACUCGUCAUUGGAUACCAAAUGACUUGGUUGUUUAAUAGUUCAUUCUUUACUUGUAAAUGCAGUUGUCCGAGAGCUUCCAAAAGAAUUUUCCGACAUUGAACUUUCCUCCCUUACCAGCACGAGGAGACUUCGAUCUUCGGGAGGUUUUGGAGUCUACAUAUUUUUUUAACUAGACUCUCAGAAACUCGGGUUACUUAUCUAGUACUACCUUUUCCUGUGGUACUGGGAGGCAAGUCUAACUGAUGAAAUUUGUAUAUAUCUCUACAUGCAUGGGAUUGUGAAAGCCUCAAAGACAACCGUCAUGGAGAAGAAGAAAGAAGUGCGUGGAGCAAGAAUUGGGUUGCCAAACUUAAAGAAUCUAGUACUUCUUUUAUACCCUUGUUUCAAACAGAGACAUAUUUCCUUCACGAGAUGUCCCAUAGUUGGAACUCAAGUUGUCUUCCCGAAUGCGUUACAUGUACAAGGAAUGAGGUGAUCUAAGUUGGGUUUUGGCAUGUACAAGAAAGGGGGCCUUCAAAUGUGGCUUUACAUAUGUUGACGAUAACUGUUAAAACAAGAAGCAUAUACAGCAGCCAAUCUGUUUUAGUUCGUGGUUGAUGUAACAGAUGAAGGAUUGGAGCACUGGUAAUAAUUUCUGGUGACUUUCAGAUCUGGAUGCUACAGUCUUCAUGGCUUUCUCUCUUACGCACAGCCAAAAUCAAGGUUGCUGGCAAGAUCCUUUGUUUUGCUGCUGUUAUACAAUUUGUAUUUUAUUUCAUUCUUGUAAAGUAAAUAAAUUAAUACCAAAAGAAAAAACACCUGCGGUAUCAAAUUGUACAUGGACGUGUGUUUUUUAAUUUAAUCACUAAUGAUUGAUAGGUCUCAAAAUAAUAUUUAAUGCAAGUUUUAAAUUUAUUUUUGUCAAGCAUUUCCAUUUGUUGAUAAAAUCUUAGUUUACAACAGUAUUAAAGAGUUUUGCAUUGCACCCUCAUAAAACAAUUGUUCUACGACAUGGCGAUACAUCCGAGGAAAGAGCUCUUGGUACGUACCCUAAUGUUCAUGUUUAAGAAAUGUUCAUAUAUUCAUGCCACAGAAUAUUAUUUAUAUAGUUAAUUACAAAAAUUGUUUAAAUUAUGUGUAUUAUUUACGUGUAAUAAUAUGAAACUCAUAACUGCUUUGUCAGUCCAAAACAUCCCCAAUGCUACUUGGUUAAUUUCAUAAGAAGAAAAAUUUGUCAAGACAUGAAUAAGUUGCACUUAAGUAACACAACAGGUAAUAAAAUGUACUUAAGCAUGUACUUUGACGCAUUUAAUUGGAAAUCGAAGUUUAUUAAUAUUUAUUUUCCUUUAUUAGGUUGAGACUGCCAUCUAUGACAAAUGGGUGGGGGAAGAUAACCUACACAUCCAAGUAACAGAGAACACGUUUAGGCAUGUGCAAUCGUUUGCAUGUAAAUCUAAUGUACUUUGAAAACAAGAUUUAUUCAAAGGAGUGAGAUUUAAUGUGCUCAUUGUUGUACAGGAUAAGUUGGACAGCAACUAACAAGAUGUUAUGUAACUGCAAAUCAUAUUCAACACAAACAAUGAAGUUUUCAAUUACUAAUUUUCAAAGUUUUAAGGAAUAUGGUAGUUUUAAAUAAAAUAAAAAGUGAGCAUUAUUUUAUUAAAGAUGUUGUUUAAACUAUAAAAUUAUAUGAACAUCGCUUAACAUAAUUCUAAAUGAACUGCAAUCUUCCAAAUUAAAAUUACCUUGACUCAAACUUUAGUUACAAAAUCAAUCAUAAAAUUAUGUUUAUGAUACAAAAUUCGAUUGGGCAACCAAUUUUCUCAAGCUUCUAUUCAAGAAGAAUAAUUACAUUUUGAAACUUCCAAUUUCAAAGUUAUAAAAUCAACUUUUUAUAAAUGUCGCUUCUAUCACUUAAUUAAAAAUUCUGCUGUAUUAAACAAAUUAAUCGACUUUCAAAUUUUCCCGCUGCAUCGCCUUCAACGAAAAUAAGAAUUGAUUGCAUGUACAACUUAAUUCACAUCCCCUGGUGAUAUAUACAUACUGUAAAUUGAAUAUAUAGUCGUUCAUACAGAUUAGAAACACUAUUAGCAAAUUCAGAUACAAAAAAAUGAUUCCAAGUAUCCACACAAGCUCGUAAAGAUUGCUGUACACUAGUUAGUCUGAAUCUAGCUCAGGAAUGUGUAGAUAAAGCAACAAUUGCCCUCCACCAGCCACUCCCAAGGCACCUCUCGAAUUAUCGGUAGCAACACAUGCAACAUUGCCAUCUGACAUCGAAGACUUGUAUUUUUUAAAAUUUGGAGAAAAAACAAAAGAUAUAUAACAUGAUAGAAGAACAAUAAGAGUGACGCCUCUCUAUGAUGGACAUCAAAGAAACCAGUCAACAUUUUGCUUAUGCAUCAUGUUGGAGAUCCCACACCGAUUAGAGUAUUUUACAGUAUAUAAGUAGAUGCAAACCUCACCUCAUAAGCCGGUUUUAUGAGAUUAAGAUAUGAUAUUAGAGCUCAAAUACAAUUAUUCGCAAAUAAAUGAGGGUGUAAUACAUGGGAUUUGGAAGCUUGAAGGAUCGAACAGAUAGUGAAGAACCUAAUAAUAGCUUCACUGGUCACCAGAGUUUCAAAGAAUCUUGUAUCCAUCUCACUCCUCUGAUCUGUAGACUAUAGCUCGUUCCCCUUUAUCAUUUGAGCUUCUUAAUAAGAGAUGGCCCCAUUCCUUAAAACCAGCAUUGACUGUAACACUCCUGUGUCUUUCACUUCUUCCGAUGAGCAAAAUAACCUUGAACCCUAGAUUCAGAACAUCUUCAUGUAGUUUUAAACUAGGUUGUAAGGAUGGAGCUAUCACUCUCGACGUGAAAGGGAUGUGUUGAAGAUUCUAUAUCGACUAGAAAUUAGAGCAUUUCAUAGUAUAUGGGUGCAAAUCUCACCCUAUAAAGCCGGUUUGUCCUUUGCCUAUGUCCAUGGUUAGACAACAAAUGGACAUAGGCAAAGGAUAAAUCAGCUUUAUGAAAAGAGGUUUGCACCCACUUAUAUACUAUGAAAUACUCUAAUAUUUAAUCGAUGUGAGAUUUUCAACACACCCCCUCACGUCGAGGGUGAUAGCUCCAUCCUUACAACCCAGUUUAAAACUAUAUGAAGAUGUUUUGAAUCUGGGGUUCAAGGUUAUUUUGCUCAUUGGAAGAAGUGAAAGACACAGGAGUGUUACAGUCGAUGCUGGUUUUAAGGAAUGGGACCAUCUCAUAUUAAGAAGCUCAGAUGAUCAAGGGGAACGAGCUGUAGUCUACAAAUCGAGAAGAGGAGUGAGAUGGAUACAGGAUACUGUCUCAAGUAUGAAAACCUAAAGAACGACAGCACAUUGUACAUAAGUAUAAUUAUUCCCAUUAUUAAAGCCAGCCAGCCAGCAACCAGGAGUGACCUAGUACGAGCAGAGUAGAAACGUAUCUGUAUUCUUAAAUACAUCCCCAAUUAAACUUAAUUCAUGUAGGCAUUCUAACAUUUUCAAAUAAACAUUACACGACCAAUUUAUUACCUCCAAUAGUUUGCUGUUUAGUUACAUUACUGUCAGCGUGAGGUCAAAUAUUCAUCAAAAUCAAGGGACUCGGUUUCUUCCUUGCAAUGAAAGAUACCAAAAGUCUGCUGCCCUUUUCAAAUUCAACCAAAGAUGUAAAACACACUAUUCAAAACUACACCUUUCUAAUUGAUGAAGAUGAGGAAUUUAUUUGAAUUUUGGGUUGGAUUGGAAAGGAAAAUAUGUAUAUACGUUUGGUAGGCAUGCGGGAUAAAAUGUGACCCUGCCUUUUGGGAUAAAAAUGUGAUAGGAAACACAGUACAUAGUAUGUGUUUGAGGAAAAACUCAAUGCAGGGAAACAGUCAGGACACAUCUUAUUUUGCCUUGCUGAGGAAGUUCUUAGCAGAACCUUCUCUAAUCUGGUUCGACAAAAUUUGCUAAUUCCCAACGAUUGGGCAUAAAGGUAUAUAUUUCCCAACUCAUACAUUUGAAGUAAUGGUUUUCCAUAGGGGUAGGAGAUGGAACACGUUGCAUUGCAGCUAGUGAGGUUAUUCCAACUUUAUAAAGAAAUUGCCAGACAGGAAGUUAAUAACUCCAAAUCCAUGUUCUAUGCAAUGAGUUGGUCUGUUAUUUACAAGAAAAGGACUAUAGUUACUAUUGAAUUCUCUGAAGGGUCACUUCCUUUACAUAUGUUGGUGAAUAAGGAAAAAACUGCCACAGUAGCUUGGCAGCAGUUAUGCUUGUCUAUAAAGGAAGGGGGUUUGGGGGAUAAAUCCUUACCUAAAUUGAAUCAAGCUGCAAUUCUUACGCUAAGUUGAGGUUUACUCAAAUCUGAUCUUGAAUGGACCAGGAUUCUUGAACUAAAGUUAUGCAAGGCAACAAAUUUUGUAGUGCUUACAUACAGUCAUUAUGAUGGUCUGGAAUUAAGUGAUACCUCUAGACAACUGUGCUUGGAAAUUGCGAGAAAAAUCAAUUUUUGGUUUGACAACUUAGAAGUCCCCGCUCAAGUCUGACGUAAACUGAAGGCAACUGUUGGAAGUUUUAUUACAGAUGGCAGAUGAAGUAUUCCAUAUGAUUUGAGUUCUAGAAUUUAAAAACAGAUCGAUCAAUAAACCCGUCAUAAAAGUCCACUGGACCUAUCUCCUCUAAAUAGAAACGUCAUGAACAAACUAACGACUUUAGAGAAAACAAAUUUAAAAAGUUGGUGUUUUUUCUAUAUAAAAAAAACUCAGGUUUAGUAUCGAGUUUAAGAAAAAGUGUUCUUACUAAUAGUGAACAAAAAAGCUUAAAUAACCCAAUCAAACUUAACAAAUCAGUAGUGCUUCUGUAGCAGUUGUCAGGUAAGUGAUCAAAGCAAAUGCGUGAAAGAGGAACAGUUGAACAUACCUUGGAACUGAUGCAGAGUAUAAAGCUUGGAUCCUUUAGACAACUCCCACAUAUACACCACUCCUUCAGUUGUUCCGAUGAUUCCAUAACCACUGGAAACACCAAUACCGCAAGUCCUGCAUAGAGUUAAUACACUGGAAGCUGUAAAUUAAAUGAUAAAUCUUAAUUAUAGAAUAAGCAAUAACUUCGCAGCUAAGAGUAUUAUACUGAGAUAUCAUCAGCCGUUCUUUAGAUGCAAUUUCAUAUAUCUAUCCAUAUCACUAAAAAAUUAUUUAUAACUAAUGGCUUUUCACAAUCUUCAUAAUUAAUCCGAGAUUUGAAUGGAAGUGUUUAAAAUAGUAAAAAUUUUCAACGGAAUAAAGUACAAGACAAAUUACAUUCAAAUUCAGAAAAAACUUUAUAGCACCUUAGAUUCAAGGGACUUCCAAAAUUUAUGCUAUUUUUCAUCAUAAGUGCAAGCCUCCAACUUCUAGCUGUAUGUAUAUCAAAACUACUUGAAGUUGAAGUAGGAUUGUGGCAACAAUCCUGAUCAGAGUAAGUCGAGACAAAAAGCCACAUAGCAACAUUUUCCUCUAAUGGUGAAGGCCAAGAGGUCUCUCUUUGCUGUGAGUACCACGAAUUGGUUGCUUUUAAAAGUUUAUCAGCCUGCUCCUCCAUGCUAGCAUAGCUGAAUCCUGAGCCUUUUGUUUGCCACUGGAACAAGCUUAUUGGAAAGAACUCAUUUAUUGGACUUUUUAUAGCAGAGAAUCUUGCAACACAGUUACACUUUGCAAUGUCCCUGGAAAAAAUGUUGACAAUAGUGGAUGAGAUAUUAUCAUAUUACUAUAACUGUAACCCCAGAUUAAAUGAUACUUAAACUUUUCGAAAGUGAUUAUUUCUCCCUUCUCUCUCCCAUUUCUUAAAACUGCUGGGUUAGGUCAUAGGUCAUUUCAAUAGUAAUAGGAAUAGAAUACGAAAUAAUGGAUGAAAAAAUGGCAGAAUAGUCAGCAGUAACAUUUUCUAAAUUUUGAAGCAGAUAAAACUAAGACUGGAAACCUAAUCUUGAAGAUUUGCAUAGAAGAGGGGGUCAUUAUGGAAAGUAGACAGACACAAAAUUCAUGCUCCGAACAACUUGUGACUCAAAAAAGAAAAUAAGAUCCAAUAAAAACAUUAACUAAUGCCCUAAAUGUUAAUGACUACAAAAUGGACAAAAAGUGCAAGUGAAUUCAUACAGCAAAUAUGAUAAAUUGAUAACAUGUAGUAAAAAUGCAAAAGUCAACAUGAGUAACCCCCAAAUUCAUUCCUGAACAAUUUGGCCUAGACCUGUUAGGUCUAGAGAAUGUUUAAAUGUCAACAUUGUCCCAAAAAAACACAACAGUCCUUGAGAAGAACUUGUGUAUUAGGUGCUUCAGAACUAAUAUGAGCAACAUCUGUGGUUUAAAGCACAUUGAGUGUUACGAACACAAUGUGAAACCCUUUCAAGGUGAAUGAGAUGGCAUACCAUAAACUAAAUUCCCCAUAGCUAUUAUGACCAACAACCAAAUGAGUAGACUUCGGAACCUUCUUCAACUCCACAAUGCCAGGGGAUGCAGAUCCAUCAUCAGUUGGAAUAAUGAAGUGCUCUGUUUUUUCACUGCCAAAAUAUGAACGAAAGAGUAAACAACAAGCUAAGUUGCAUGCACAAUUGCAAGAUAACCAAAUGUUAUAUAUUUAAUUAAGCUAGCUAUAAAAUCAACAAUUUUAAUAGGUAUUGACAAUACAGACGUCAUUGAUCAACAAGAAUAAAUUCUAUAAUUACAAGUUACAACUUACAAGUGUGUAACUCAUCAAUAAUUGUAGAUCUCUUCUAGAAAAGAGGUCGGUAAAACUAAUGGCAGGUCUUAGAUUCUGAUAAAAUUAGAGCUUUAAUAAAAACUUGGAAACAACCAAGACAAAUCUGUCAUGACAUCUCAAAAACACAGUUUUCCAAAUAUUCUCAUGCAAUCUCAGAGGAAAAACAAAGGGAAUUCAUAUCCAUGCUGUCAGCUACGAAAGCAAAAAUGCAAUAAAUCAGCAACUUAAUUAAAAUAUUCCUACUCUGGAAGGGACAUAAAUGGCUUUAGGGAAUGCAAAGUGUAAGAAGAUUCACUAAAAUCACCUCCAUUUUGAAUUCAUGACCCACACCUCCAGUUUCCCACUUUCUCCAACAGAAACAAGUCGGUUAGGUUCACAAACCAAUAUACAAUGUACAUUGUCAGCCGUUUCCAAUGUUGUUACAACUGAUACAUAACCAUGUUCUACUUGGACAAUCUUCAAAGCAUUCUUCUCAUAGAAAACUGAUGUACAUGUUGAGCAAGAACAAUCAAUUUUUCCUUCCCUGGGAUGAAACGCUAUUUAGUUAUUCCACUUAAACGGAAAUUACAUAUCAAUUGAAGCAUGCAGACACAGUUAACCUGCAAUUUGGGGCCUUUAUGCUGCCUAUUAAGACAAUAUACUGUCCACCAGGAGUCAACUGCACCCCAGAUCUUUCCACCAUAGUCUAGCAUAAAAUAUGAUAGAUUUUGUCACUUACUAUGUAAUAGUGUAUAACUAGAUUACAUUCUGUUAUGACAGCUGUACUUUUAACAAAUUUUGAUAGUGACCAUUUAUCUAACCAAACAGUUGGAAUAAAAAAAGGAAAAAGGGGUUGAGUUGAGAAUGAACCAAGCAAAAAAUAACUUACUUCUUUUAUGAAGUUAUGUUUUGGGUCGGGUAACAGUAUUGAGCUGUGAGCCAUGACAGAAGGGUAUCCUAGAGUUGGUUCAGUAAUGGCUACCUUGUAAGUAAACAAGGUCCUGUACUGAUCUGUCAGAUGGCCACAUAAGACACAAAUAUGGACUUCAUCCUCUUUUGUGCUUAAAAAUAAUGAUGAAACUGGCAUUGGGUGCAAGUAACAUCCCACAAACUUAACACUGCUUCCCAGAUUACUCUUGAGUUCCUCGUUUUGCAGGGGCAUUGGUUCUGAAAUUAAUUGAGCCUCUUUGGUACCGAAACACUUAUUUUCUUCAGCAAACUGGGUUGGAUUCUGAGAUGGUGCUAGGCUUUGUUCCACUAUGUUGCUAUGUUCAAUCAGAACAUCCCUACAAGUUUGAGGAGUUUGAACACACAAACCUGCAGCAUCAUCUGGUUCACAUGGUUUAUCAUUUGAAUUGCUUAUUAGAAUAAUUUCUGAGGAAUGUAAAGUGUCCUUGGUAGUAUACAUUUGAGUAGUAACAAGUUUAAACUUGUCCCCAGAGAAUGCAUUGCUAACACCUGCAUCGUGUUAUAAAAUUUGUAAGAAAUGGUAAUGACUGAAUCAAACUGAACAAUUCAAGUAAGCAACAGUUUCAAUUCAAUUAAGCUUAAUUCUUCACUCGAGUCCUUGCCCCAAAAUAAGCCAAUAUUUUGCUGCAACCAUGACCAGUGAUGCUGGAUCAUGUGAUUGGGUUCUCAAGAUCAGUGUACCAUGGGGUAUGGAUACCAUUAUCAAUACAGGGAUUAGGGUACAAGAUUCCUAAAUUAGGGGGUACAAAAAAUUUCUAAAUCUAAGGUGUGCAGGAGCAUAGAUUAUAUAAAAUAUUAAAAAAAAUAUAUUAAAAUUAAAUAUAAAUACAAUUUUCCUAGUGUUCACGCAGUGAGCAAAAAAUAUUUAAAAGCACAAGUUCUGACGAGAAUGAAACGGCAAUUUGUUUCAUUUACUAACAAACUUUUCUGCAUGGACCAAUUAUGCUUGGUCAUGAUUGAGUGUUGGGUGGCCAUGCCAUGUGUACCCAUUAAGUAGAGGAACCAAUUUUUGCAUUCAGUAUGGGUACAAUACAACUACUUAGGAGGACAGUGCAUCAUAGCUUGACAUAAAUCUCAGUUCAAAAUAGACUGAAGAAUUAUAUUGCAAUAUGCCAUUUUAUAAUUUGUUUUGUCAAUGUCAAAUAUCAUAAACACAUUACCUCCAGUAAAAUCCUGGGCAGUUGGGAAGUCCUUUUGCGCAGGACUGAGACUAACAUGUGCUGGAUUUUCUUUCACACCUGAGUAGUCAUCAUCUCUUCUUUCAGAAUUAACCUGAUCCUUAGGAGACAUGUCAUCUAGAACAGAUUCAGGAAUACAUACAUCAAAAUUCCGAGGACUGUCUUCAAAGUCAAUCCCUGAAGCAUGAGUUUUGGAUGUUAUGUUUGGCAUGUCAUGACCAAGAAGCUGCUGAGAGCCCAUUUCUAUGUUGAAACUUGAUCUACCAGCUUCAGCGAGAUCAGAAGAUAACUUUUCCUGAUUGGUUUUAUAAUCAUCACAUUCACUAUAUUCAAAACUGUCAGGAACAAUACACUUCAUAUGUUCAGAAUUAAGAGUGUUUGAAUGUGGGUCAGUAUGCCCAUGUAUCGUCUCUCGUUCCCCAUGUGCAGCCUCUAUCAUUAUUACAUCUGCCAUAUAAAAUUUUUCUAAUAAUGCAUAAGGAUACAUAAACAAACAAACAUGAAAAUAAAAAUGUAGAUUGAAAAGACAACAUACUAUAUUCAAAACUGUCAGGAACAAUACACUUCAUAUGUUCAGAAUUAAGAGUGUUUGAAUGUGGGUCUGUAUGCCCAUGUAUCGUCUCUCCUUGUUCCCCGUGUGCAGCCUCUAUCAUUAUUACAUCUGCCAUAUAAAUUUUUUCUAAUAAUGCAUUAGGAUACAUAAAUAAACAAACAUGAAAAUAAAAAGGUAGAUUGAAAUGACAACAUACUAUAUCAAAUGUUUUGACCCACAGACAGUGAUAACAAAUUCUAAGAAACAAUGAUCAAGAUAAGGUAAUAUUUACCAGAAGAGGCUACAUCCAAACUACAUCCAACUUUAUUAUGUUCGUCCUCAGAAUUCACCUGAGAAGGUGGCAUAUCUGCAGGACUAAUGAUAAGCUCCUUAUCUGUUGAAACAGACCUCAGUAGAGGAACUGCUUGAGGAAGCAGAAGUGACAUCAUUGAGUUUGCUACAUCAAGGCCAGCGGAACCAAAGUCACCUUUUUCAGAGCAUGGAUUUGAAUUAGAUUUUACCAAUUUUUCAUGCUCCGCAUUUGACAAUUUUUCAGAGGUGAUCUCACAAGUUGUCUCAAUGUAAGCAUUUUCAUCCAGUUCACUUGGCGCAGAAUCAGGAGUAUAUUCUGCAGUGUACUAUAGUAAGUGAUCCAGUUCAACAGGAAAAUAGAAAAGAUAAAAGAGAAAUUAUACUAAAGGAGAGAGAGCUUUGUAGAAUGAGGAAAUACUAAUAAGUUAAUAAAUAGAAAAAAAGCUUCCAAGAGUUGUUUACAAAAUGUGUUCUUGUUGAGAACUACAUUAGAAAAGCCAAAGACCAACCGUGAAUCCAUAAAUAUUGUAUUAACAUUAGUGGAAUAAAUAAAUGUCAUAUAUUUGACAAUAUCACAAGACAUUUCUCACUUUCAUUCUGUAAAGAACACACUGCACUAUUCAAUAAUGCUAAAGUUAUUAAGGAGUAUCACCCAAUCUUUGAUAGCCCAAAUUGCAAAGGUUUAAAAUUAGAUAUAAACCCCCAACAUUAUAGAAAAAGUCAAACAACUGAGUAUUUUUAGCCAAAAAGUCUUCCAACCCAUCAACUGAAAUGAGCAUGAGGAUACGAGAUUGCAGGUAUUGAAAAACAUUAAAAGUGAAAAGUAAUAGCUUUUAUAGUACAAACAAAAUACAAGUACCUUGCACAAAAUCUAGGGUAUCAGGAGCACAAAGAUCAAUGGCAAUACAACCUACAGUUUCUUUAGAAUGUGACUGCAUUAGUUUAUUGUCUUCUGAUGUCACCAACAAAUUAGACAUCUUCAACUCGACAUUCUGCGACCUAUGAAGCUGCAAGAAGUUAAGAUAUUUUCUUCGAUAACAAAAUAGACCAUUAAAUUUGAUUUAUACCCAAUCUUUGGGAAAUUUUAAACUGAAUCUGAAAUAUCUCAAGCAGGAGAAAAAAUAAAUCAGUUGUAAGAAUUAAAAUAGAUCAAGAUGAAGAAAAUUAAGGAAAGAACAUGUUUUCAAUGAUAACCAUUGAAUAGAUUGCGUUUUAUGAAGCAACAUGUUUCCAUUGAAUAUCGUUCACUAGAAUAUAACAAGUUUAGAGGUAUGCUUACUGAAGGUUCUUCUGUGGACAAGUUUUCAGUUAGUUCUUUAGCACUGCAACUUUGAGAAAAGAGAAAACCAGCAGAUCCUUUAGAAGGCACAGCUCCCACUUCUUUAUUAUCAGAUAUUUCAAGAGGAUUCAGCAGAAAGUCAUUUUUGGAUGAAAUGCAAUUUUUGCUUUUACAAACGGAAGAUGCCCUUUGCAAUGGAGCUGGCACACCUAUCUGAUUCUGGACUUCAUGUACUUCUGAACCAUAAUGAGUUGUAGAACUCCCUUGACCAUGAUUCUUCUCAUUCUUUACAUUUGAGGGUCCACUGCAUACGAAUUGUGGAGACUGUGGUCUAGCUCGUACAUUUAAUUUUUUGUUUUUAAGUUCACAUCUACUUCUCUUCCCUGUAACAUGUUGUUUUCCAAGGUAACGUAGUAAAUCAGGAUACGUGCCUACAUUUGGGCAGCAAUUAUCAUCAUGAUCUGUUCUAGCAACCCCCUCACAGAUGUUUGGGGAUACCAAGCUCCGUUCUGCUAUUCCAUUUACAUUUGUUACCAGUUCACGGAGUAACCUCUGGAUAGACUGAUUUUUGAACCCAAAAAACUGCAUGUGAUUAAAAUAGAAUAAAAUAUAUUAAGCACAACACACAACUAUAUGAAAAACAAUAUAGUAUAAACAAAAGAUGCGUAAUUGUGAAAUAACAAAAAGGAACUAAAAGAAAAAAAGGAAAAUUAUGAGAUUGCUCAACCCAGACUGGUUGCAAAUCCUGGACACAAAUUCUACACUUUUAGAUCUCUUUAUAAAGAAGAAAGUUUAUUUAAGAGGAAAAGGAAGGGUUUCAAGUAGAGUAGAAUAACAUAAUCUCACAAACAAAAGAAAGGAAACAGCAAAAAUAAGCAAAGUCGUUACUAUGAUAAAGCUUUCCAAUUCCACUGCAUAUAUCCCAGAACUAGAAGACUUGUUAAAGAAACCAAAGAGAAGUAAGAAAAACUUUCUCACCAUGUUUUGAAGCACAAAUUACAAAAGCUUGAAGAGAUUACCAAUAUAAAGACAUAAUUUCAACAUAAGAUAAGGGGUCUUUCUUGCAUAAUUGCACAUUGAAUUGACAAGCUUCUCAUGGGAAUUGGAGUAAGCUGGCUAAAUUGGUCAUCCAAGUUGUUUUUUUGGUUAUUGAUUUUACGUAUUUGGUACAGUGGGAACCUCAUUCAGUUUGAUAGUCAAUAUAUGCCAUAUAAGAGGAUUAAAAAUAAGGUUCGUAAUGAGAAGUUGAAUGGGUAAUUUAUUUCAUUAUACCAUGAAUUCUAACAUGUCUGAGUUUUGUAUUCUAAAGCAUUUUAACAUUGAUAUCAAACCUAGUGUUGGCCCAAAAAUCAUUCCUGUUUUGUGAGAGGACCUUUCUUCGGAUGUUUUUUUCUAUUUUCCUUGGAAUCUAUUCAUCCAUCUAUGCUGAAAUCAAGGGUACUGUUUAUGCAGUUGAUUUUGCUUUUGAUAGAGGCUGACAGAGUUUGUGGUUGGUGAAUGAUUCUAUGCUGGUUGUUCAAUCAAGCAUUUAAAAUGAUCAGAUUAUUCCUUCAUAUUUGCAAUCCAAGUGACAUAAUAUGAAGUUUAAAUAUAGUAAUAAGAGGAUGCAUGUUUCUCAUAUUUAUAGGGAAGGGAUUAAUUGUGGCUAGCUUGCUUGUUAUGGAAUUAGAGAACGCUGUACUCAGUGGUGGGAUAAUAUUCCAGAUUCUCUUAAGAUUAGAUUUCUUUAGGAGUAGGUGUUCUUUACCUUGUAUGUUAAUUCUGUAGAGGGUUUUAGUCUAACCCCCCUACUCGUUAGUAUUUAUUUUCCUUAUUUUUAAGCUAUUUGGGUAUGUUACAAAUGAUAGACAUAACAUAUAGGGUACCAACUUAGUUGGGAUCAUAUGACAUUGCGAUGCUUUUGCAUAUGCUACUCUUUUUUUUAAAUACACUACCAACCAGAAUUUGAGUUCAGAAUCUAAUAGUAGCUGUUUUGAUAGGAUACUGUAUACAAGAAAUUUGAUAUUAGUAAUUUAUAGCCAAUGUCAUGUCACAAUUUUGACACCAGAACCUAAGCAAACAGAGAUUGUUAUGCAGCAAAUGCACAAGUAGUCAAGCAAUCCACCUCCUGCAUUCUAUAGUCACUUGGCAAGUUGGCACACAUCAAAGACUGUUGUUUCCAUAAAAACAUAGGACACAAAGGGGAUAAGAAUAACCAAAGCAGAACUUUGUGGUUAGUCAGAAAGCAAUUUUAAUUACAGUUGUCCAUACCAAUCAUUUCCACUCAAAUGUGAACUUGUCAAGUGAAGAAAUGUUAUUCAUCCAAAUUCCUAAAGCAAAAAUAAUAAAAUAGGAAAAAGGACAGGUGAAGAAGCA
rnacentral:lncRNA from 1 species